UUUUUUUUUAAUUUUUGUUAAAUCUGGUCAAACUAAUUAUUCAAGAAUAUUAGUGUUACUAAAUAAUUAUUUUAUUUUUUUGAAUUUUGGUCAAAUCUGGUCAAACUAUGGUCAAACUGUGGUCAAACAAUGGUCAAACUAAUUAUUCCAGAAAUAUUAGUGUUAUUUUUUAGAACAAUAGUUUCAAACUCAAACAGUGAAAUGUGUGACUUCAUGCUCAAGCUAAAUUCCUGAGGUUAAUAGGAUUGACAUCUUACUAUUGUCAGGAAAACAACAAGUGCAGACUUGGAAACGAGGGAGAAUAGAACCCGAAAGUUAAGCAUGCUUUGGAGUAGUGAGAGGAUGGGUGACCGUCCGGGAAGUUAGAUGAUUUGAAAUGAUGAGGGGUGAUUAGAGAUUAGAGAUUAAAUUGAGCAGCGAUGAGGGGUGAUUAGAGGUUAAAAUAAUUCAGAAAUUUGAAAAUUAAGGGGAAAAAAUUGAAAAAGAAAAUUUGAAAAAAAAUCAAAAAAAAUCAGAGAUUAGAGAUUAGUAGUAGCGCGGGUUUUUACCCACGCUACUACUAACGGACGUAGUAGUAGCUGUAGCGCCGUAUUAGUAGCGCCGGUCCCCGCGCUACUACUAUACGUUAGCUGUAGCGCCGUAUUAGUAGCGCCGGUCCCCGCGCUACUAAUAGGCCCAAAACCCGCGCUGCUGCUAGGCUUUUCCCUAGUAGUGGCUUCAUGAUGCUCUCUUUAUGUUUCAAUUCUUAUCUUUUAUGUGAGCAUCAUUGUCAUCAUCAUGCCUAGCUAGAAAGGCAUUAAAGAAAGACGCUUGUUGGGAGAUAACCCAAUAUUUAUCCUUACUGUUUUUGUGUGUCCACAUGAUUAUGCUACUGUAGUAAUCAUGCUUUAUAGCUUUUGUUUUAAUAAAGUGCCAAGUAGAACCUUUGGGAAGACUUGGGUGAAGUUUAUGUGAUCUUGCUAUGAAAAACAGAAACUUUAGUGCUCACAAGAUUAGCUGCUUUUUUUUACUGGAGAGUGCUUUUAGGUUGAUUCUUUUUGCAGAUGAUUAAUAGACAAAUCCCUCAGGUCCACCAAUUUAUUUCAUAAUUUUUGGGGUUCCAGAAGUAUACGUUUGAUACAGAUUACUACAGACUGUUUUGUUUUUGACAGAUUCUGUUUUCAUUGUGUUGUUUGCUUAUUUUGAUGAAUCUAUGAGUAGUAUCGGAGGGUAUGAACCAUAGAUAAGUUGGAAUACAGUAGGCUUUACACCAAUAUNNNNNNNNNNNNNNNNNNNNNNNNNNNNNNNNNNNNNNNNNNNNNNNNNNNNNNNNNNNNNNNNNNNNNNNNNNNNNNNNNNNNNNNNNNNNNNNNNNNNNNNNNNNNNNNNNNNNNNNNNNNNNNNNNNNNNNNNNNNNNNNNNNNNNNNNNNNNNNNNNNNNNNNNNNNNNNNNNNNNNNNNNNNNNNNNNNNNNNNNNNNNNNNNNNNNNNNNNNNNNNNNNNNNNNNNNNNNNNNNNNNNNNNNNNNNNNNNNNNNNNNNNNNNNNNNNNNNNNNNNNNNNNNNNNNNNNNNNNNNNNNNNNNNNNNNNNNNNNNNNNNNNNNNNNNNNNNNNNNNNNNNNNNNNNNNNNNNNNNNNNNNNNNNNNUUGAAUCUUUUUGCAUAUUAAGCUCUGAUAAAUUUAUUACAGUGGGAAUUUUAGUUCAUAAUUUUUGGAGUUAGGGAAGUAUUGAUACUCUUGCAUUCUUUACAGACUGUACUGUUUUGGCAGAUUGCUGUUAUGUUUGCAUUGUUGGCAUAUGUUUGCUUGUUUAAUGAUUCUAUUUGAGGAUAGGAGUAUUAAAUAUUCAGAGACAUUUAUAUGCAAUGUUGAAUAAUAAUGUUAGUGAUUUGUUACAAUAGAAGAUGAUAAGGUUUUGCAUUGGUUUAUACUAACCGAUCUCACGAGUUCUUGUUGAGUUUGUUGUGAAUGAAGCUUUUGAUAAAAAGAGAAACCGUGACAUGAAAGGAAUUAAGGAGACACAAAUGCUCAAGCUUGGGGAUGCCCAAGGCACCCCAAGAUAAUAUUUCAAAAAGUCUCAAUCAUCUAAGCUUGGGGAUGCCCCGGUAGGCAUCCCACCUUUCUUCUUCAACAACUAUCGGUUAGUAUCGAUUGAGCCUAAGUAUUUGCUUCUUCACAUGAGUUGUGCUAUCCUUGCAUUAUCAUUUUAUUUUGUUUUUCUUGCUGCCUGAAUACAAUACCAAGAUCUGAAAUUCUUUAAUGAGAGAGAGUCCUUGCAUAGUUGCAUAAUUAUUUUGCUAGAAUACUCAUUGUGCUUCACUUAUAUCUUUUGAGCUUGAUAAUUUUUGCUCUAGUGCUUCACUUAUAUCCUUUAGAGCACGGUGGUGGAUUUGUUUUAAAGAAACUAUUGAUCUCUCAUGCUUCACUUAGAUUAUUUUGAGAGUCGUUAAUAGCAUGGUAAUUUGCUUAAUGUUAAUAUACUUGGUGUUCAAGAUAUGUGAAACUUUCUUUUGAGUGCGUUGAAUACUAAGAUAAGUUUGAUGCUUGAUAAUUGUUUUGAGAUAUGGAGGUAAUAAUAUCAAAGUCAUGCUACUUGAGUAGUUGUGAAUUUGAGAAAUACUUGUGUUGAAGUUGGUAAAUCCCAUAGCAUGCAUGUAUGGUUAAAGUUGUGUAACAAAUUUGAAGCAUGAAGUGUACCUGGCUUGUGCAUCCUUAUGAGUGGCGGUCGGGGACGAGCGAUGGUCUUUUCCUAACAAUCUAUCCCCCUAGGAGCAUGCGCGUAGUACGUGAUUUUUGAUGACUUCUAAAUUUUUGUAAUAAAUAUAUGAGUUCUUUUGACUAAUGUUGAGUCCAUGGAUUAUACACACUUUUACCUUUCCGCCAUUGCUAGCCUCUUCGGUACCGUGCAUUGCCCUUUCUCACAUUGAGAGUUGGCGCAAACUUCGCCGGUGCAUCCAAACUCCAUGAUACGAUGCGCUCUAUCACACAUAAACCUCCCUAUAUCUUCCUCAAAACAGCCACCAUACCUACCUAUUAUGGCAUUUCCAUAGCCAUUUCGAGAUAUAUUGCCAUGCAACUUUCCACCGUUCCGUUCAUCAUUAUUAUGACAUACAUUAUUUUUGUCAUAUUGCCAUUGCAUGAUCAUGUAGUUGACAUCGUAUUUGUGGCAAAGCCACCAUGCAUUAUUUUUCAUACAUGUCACUCUUGAUUCAUUGCACCAUCCCGGUACACCGCCGGAGGCAUUCAUAUAGAGUCAUACCUUGUUCUAGUUUCGAGUUGUAAUCCUCAUGUUGUAAUCAAUAGAAGGGAACAACGUAUGUUGUUAUGCGGUUUGACCGAUAAAGAUCUUCGUAGAAUAUGUAGGAACCAAUAUGGGCAUCCAGGUUCCGCUAUUGGUUAUUGACCGAGAAUAGUUCUAGGUCAUGUCUACAUUGUUCUCGAACCCGUAGGGUCCGCACGCUUAAGGUUUUGAUGACAGUUAUAUUAUGAGUUUAUGAGUUUUGAUGUACCGAAGGAGUUCGGAGUCUCGGAUGAGAUCGGGGACAUGACGAGGAGUCUCAAAAUGGUCGAGACGUAAAGAUCGAUAUAUUGGACGACUAUAUUCGGAGUUCGGAAAGGUUCCGAGUGAUUCGGGUAUUUUUCGGAGUACCGGAGAGUUACGGGAAUUCGCCGGAGAGUAUAUGGGCCUUAUUGGGCCAUACGGGAAUAGAGGAAAGAGGCCGAAAGGAAGGAGGCGCGCAGCCCCCCUCUGGUCCGAAUUAUUUAGUAACACUAAUAUUCUAGAAUAAUUAGUUUGACCAUUGUUUGACCAUAGUUUGCCCACUGUUUGAAUAUUUUUCAAUUUUUUCCCACACUAGAUCUUACAAGCCCCGUAACUUUUUUUCUAUUAGGUUUUUGAGGAUUUUGAAAAUGUUUAACGAGGUUCCCCCAGUUAAAUUUGGAUGUAACUUUUCGAGUAGAUGAUUUUUCAUAUAAAAAACUUUUUCAUCCGAGUUAGUAUGCAAAAGUUAUGCCCAUUUUUACAAAUUUCAGAGAGAUUUUGCAAAUAAAGUCAAAAUUCACAUUUGCAAACUAGGUAUUGGAUACCGACGAUCAAAUCUCGGGCAAGUAACAUACCGAUGACAAAGGGAACAACGUAUGUUGUUAUGCGGUUUGACCGAUAAAGAUCUUCGUAGAAUAUGUAGGAACCAAUAUGGGCAUCCAGGUUCCGCUAUUGGUUAUUGACCGAGAAUAGUUCUAGGUCAUGUCUACAUUGUUCUCGAACCCGUAGGGUCCGCACGCUUAAGGUUUUGAUGACAGUUAUAUUAUGAGUUUAUGAGUUUUGAUGUACCGAAGGAGUUCGGAGUCUCGGAUGAGAUCGGGGACAUGACGAGGAGUCUCAAAAUGGUCGAGACGUAAAGAUCGAUAUAUUGGACGACUAUAUUCGGAGUUCGGAAAGGUUCCGAGUGAUUCGUGUAUUUUUCGGAGUACCGGAGAGUUACGGGAAUUCGCCGGAGAGUAUAUGGGCCUUAUUGGGCCAUACGGGAAUAGAGGAAAGAGGCCGAAAGGAAGGAGGCGCGCAGCCCCCCUCUGGUCCGAAUUAUUUAGUAACACUAAUAUUCUAGAAUAAUUAGUUUGACCAUUGUUUGACCAUAGUUUGCCCACUGUUUGAAUAUUUUUCAAUUUUUUCCCACACUAGAUCUUACAAGCCCCGUAACUUUUUUUCUAUUAGGUUUUUGAGAAUUUUGAAAAUGUUUAACGGGGUUCCCCCAGUUAAAUUUGGAUGUAACUUUUCGAGUAGAUGAUUUUCCAUAUAAAAAACUUUUUCAUCCGAGUUAGUAUGCAAAAGUUAUGCCCAUUUUUACAAAUUUCAGAGAGAUUUUGCAAAUAAAGUCAAAAUUCACAUUUGCAAACUAGGUAUUGGAUACCGACGAUCAAAUCUCGGGCAAGUAACAUACCGAUGACAAAGGGAACAACGUAUGUUGUUAUGCGGUUUGACCGAUAAAGAUCUUCGUAGAAUAUGUAGGAACCAAUAUGGGCAUCCAGGUUCCGCUAUUGGUUAUUGACCGAGAAUAGUUCUAGGUCAUGUCUACAUUGUUCUCGAACCCGUAGGGUCCGCACGCUUAAGGUUUUGAUGACAGUUAUAUUAUGAGUUUAUGAGUUUUGAUGUACCGAAGGAGUUUGGAGUCUCGGAUGAGAUCGGGGACAUGACGAGGAGUCUCAAAAUGGUCGAGACGUAAAGAUCGAUAUAUUGGACGACUAUAUUCGGAGUUCGGAAAGGUUCCGAGUGAUUCGGGUAUUUUUCGGAGUACCGGAGAGUUACGGGAAUUCGCCGGAGAGUAUAUGGGCCUUAUUGGGCCAUACGGGAAUAGAGGAAAGAGGCCGAAAGGAAGGAGGCGCGCAGCCCCCCUCUGGUCCGAAUUAUUUAGUAACACUAAUAUUCUAGAAUAAUUAGUUUGACCAUUGUUUGACCAUAGUUUGCCCACUGUUUGAAUAUUUUUCAAUUUUUUCCCACACUAGAUCUUACAAGCCCCGUAACUUUUUUUCUAUUAGGUUUUUGAGGAUUUUGAAAAUGUUUAACGGGGUUCCCCCCAGUUAAAUUUGGAUGUAACUUUUCGAGUAGAUGAUUUUUCAUAUAAAAAACUUUUUCAUCCGAGUUAGUAUGCAAAAGUUAUGCCCAUUUUUACAAAUUUCAGAGAGAUUUUGCAAAUAAAGUCAAAAUUCACAUUUGCAAACUAGGUAUUGGAUACCGACGAUCAAAUCUCGGGCAAGUAACAUACCGAUGACAAAGGGAACAACGUAUGUUGUUAUGCGGUUUGACCGAUAAAGAUCUUCGUAGAAUAUGUAGGAACCAAUAUGGGCAUCCAGGUUCCGCUAUUGGUUAUUGACCGAGAAUAGUUCUAGGUCAUGUCUACAUUGUUCUCGAACCCGUAGGGUCCGCACGCUUAAGGUUUUGAUGACAGUUAUAUUAUGAGUUUAUGAGUUUUGAUGUACCGAAGGAGUUCGGAGUCUCGGAUGAGAUCGGGGACAUGACGAGGAGUCUCAAAAUAGUCGAGACGUAAAGAUCGAUAUAUUGGACGACUAUAUUCGGAGUUCGAAAAGGUUCCGAGUGAUUCGGGUAUUUUUCGGAGUACCGGAGAGUUACGAGAAUUCGCCGGAGAGUAUAUGGGCCUUAUUGGGCCAUACAGGAAUAGAGGAAAGAGGCCGAAAGGAAGGAGGCGCGCAGCCCCCCUCUGGUCCGAAUUAUUUAGUAACACUAAUAUUCUAGAAUAAUUAGUUUGACCAUUGUUUGACCAUAGUUUGCCCACUGUUUGAAUAUUUUUCAAUUUUUUCCCACACUAGAUCUUACAAGCCCCGUAACUUUUUUUCUAUUAGGUUUUUGAGGAUUUUGAAAAUGUUUAACGGGGUUCCCCCAGUUAAAUUUGGAUGUAACUUUUCGAGUAGAUGAUUUUUCAUAUAAAAAACUUUUUCAUCCGAGUUAGUAUGCAAAAGUUAUGCCCAUUUUUACAAAUUUCAGAGAGAUUUUGCAAAUAAAGUCAAAAUUCACAUUUGCAAACUAGGUAUUGGAUACCGACGAUCAAAUCUCGGGCAAGUAACAUACUGAUGACAAAGGGAACAACGUAUGUUGUUAUGCGGUUUGACCGAUAAAGAUCUUCGUAGAAUAUGUAGGAACCAAUAUGGGCAUCCAGGUUCCGCUAUUGGUUAUUGACCGAGAAUAGUUCUAGGUCAUGUCUACAUUGUUCUCGAACCCGUAGGGUCCGCACGCUUAAGGUUUUGAUGACAGUUAUAUUAUGAGUUUAUGAGUUUUGAUGUACUGAAGGAGUUCGGAGUCUCGGAUGAGAUCGGGGACAUGACGAGGAGUCUCAAAAUGGUCGAGACGUAAAGAUCGAUAUAUUGGACGACUAUAUUCGGAGUUCGGAAAGGUUCCGAGUGAUUCGGGUAUUUUUCGGAGUACCGGAGAGUUACGGGAAUUCGCCGGAGAGUAUAUGGGCCUUAUUGGGCCAUACGGGAAUAGAGGAAAGAGGCCGAAAGGAAGGAGGCGCGCAGCCCCCCUCUGGUCCGAAUUAUUUAGUAACACUAAAGACUUCAUUAGUCGCGGUUCCUACAGUUUCGCGACUAAUGGGGCUGGACGGAAGCCUCUUUUUCCACCAGUGGUGGGACUAAACUUCUCACUACACCUAGUGCCAAUAAACCCAUAUGGACGCUUAGAGAUUUUUAGAAAUUGCUAUAUGGGCCUAAGGCCCAUCUCAAAUUUCAGCAAUCCUCCACCAGAUCUCGAGGGGCCAUUGUGUCCUCCGUUCCAGUUGCUAUUUCGAUAUACUAGUGUUUCAGUGAAGACCUGUUAAGGUUGAGCUUCACCUAGAGCAAGUAGCUACACUCCUUCACAACUGAACAAUGGACUAUGCCUUGAAUUGUCAGUUUGGCGUAAAGAAGCUUCACCAUAUGUCUUACUAGUACUAGGCUGUCAAAGGCUGACCCCUUGGGUGGAGCAUAUAACUCACACUCCUGGCCUAUUCAUGAGCUUACUAGAGAUCACUCCAAUCUCAUAGACUGUGACCAGCAAUCGGGCUCACAUAGGUGUGUUCCUCCAAAGAUCGCUCUGUAGGAUAGCAUCUUGCUUACAUAAGCUUCGGAACACAUUAAGACAGUAGUCAUCCUACCAUACAAUAUCGAGAGAAUUGCAUCUCCGAUGGAGUGGGUUAGUAGAGUUACUCUCCUCAGUUCACCACUGGCUUGUUUUCCCAAGUCCUACUUCAUGGGAUCUCUGAUCACAUAGGUUGGAUUACCACCAUGAAAACUCAUGUGGGUCUCAUACCCAUCUUCCUCGAUGCACUAUCUAUCAUAACACGUGAUAGCCCUUUUGUAAAGGGAUCUGCCAGAUUCUUAGCCGUAUGGACAUACUCCAACGCUAUCACUCCGGAGUCCUUAAUUUUCUGACAACUUUUGAUCUCAUUCUUAUGUGUUUGUUAGACUUCAUGUUGUCCUUUGAACUCUUCACCUUCGUGAUGACAGUCUGAUUGUCACAGUUCAUAAGGCUAGCCGGAACCGGUUUAUCAACCAAUGGCAAGUCCAUCAAAAGAUCUCGAAGCCAUCCUGCUUGGACACCAGAUCUGUCUAAUGCUGUUAAUUCUGCUUCCAUUGUCGAUCUUCUUAAGAUCGUUUGCUUGCAAUACUUCUAGGAAACAGCACCACCUCCAAGAGUAAACAUAUACCCAGUUGUGGCCUUCAUCUCAUCAACAUCAGAGAUCCAAUUUGCAUCACUAUACCCUUCCAGUACCGACGGGUAUCCGGUAUAGUGAAGUCCAUAGUUUGAGAGUAUCACUAUACCCUUCGCAUCACUAUACCCUUUCAGAUAGUGCAUAACUCUUUCAACAACAUGCCAAUGUACAUCACCCGGUUUGGAAACAAACCGGCUCAGUUUGCUCACAGCAAACACGAUGUCAGGCCUCAUUGUGCUCGCUAGGUACAUCAGUGAACCAAUAAUUUGAGAGUAUCUCAGUUGAUCUUUAGUCGUGCCUUCGAACUUUUGAAUCAACACACUAAGAUCAUAUGUUGUUUGAGAUGGUGUGCAGUCCGAAUAUCCAAAGCGACCCAACACAUUCUCAACAUAAUGGGAUUGCAAAAGUGUGAUCCCACCCUCAUUAUCUCUUAAUAGCUUGAUGUUCAAGAUAACAUCAGCCACACCAAGGUCCUUCAUCUCAAAGUUUUGAGAUAGAAACGUCUUGACCUCCUCAAUGACUUUGAUGUUUGUUCUGAAUAUCAAUAUGUCAUCAACAUACAAGCACAGUAUAACCCCGUCGCCCCCCACCAUGGCGAUAGGAUACACAUUUGUCAGCUUCAUUAACAACAAAGUCAACAGAUGUCAGAGUUGUACUAAACUUAUCAUGCCAUUGCUUAGGUGCUUGCUUCAGGCCAUAUAAAGAUUUCAGCAACCUACACACCUUUCUUUCCUGACCAUCCAUCACAAAUCCAUCUGGCUGUUGCAUGUAGAUUUCCUUGUUUAGCUCUCCAUUCAGAAAAGCCGUCAUAACAUCCAUCUAGUGGACGAGAAUACCAUGCGAGGCCGCCAACGAGAGUAAUACUAGAAUGGUGGUCAGUCUAGCCACAGGUGAAUAAGUAUCGAAGAAAUCUUCUUCUUCUUUCUGGUCAUAGCCCUUGGCCACAAGUCUAGCCUUGUACUUUUCAAUCGUACCAUCGGGCCUAAUCUUAUUUUUAAACACUCAUUUACAUCCCAAUGGUUUACAACCAUAGGGACGCUUAGUGAUCUCCCAUGUCCCGUUAGCCAUGAUGGAAUCCAUCUCGCUAUGGACCGCAUCCUUCCAGUAGUCAGCUUUUGGAGAGGCAUAUGCUUCUGAAAUAGAAGUGAGAGUAUCACCCACGAGGUACACGAAGAAAUCAUUACCAAAGGUCUUUGCAGUCCUUUGUCUCUUACCCCUACCAAGGUUUCCUUGUCAUCCUCCUCAGGAUUUUCAUCAUGUGUUCGUUCAUAAUAUUCCAUAGGAAUGGCAGGCUCAGGAGUCUCCUCAGAUUCCUGUCUAGAAGUGCUUUGUAUAUCUCUCAUAGGAAAAAUAUCCUCGAAGAAUGUAUCAUCCUUAGACUCCAUAAUUGUACGGACCUUCUGGUCAGGUACCUCAGAUUUCACUACUAGAAAUCUGUAGCCAACGUUGUUCUUAGCCUAGCUCAAAUUAACGCAGUCCACAGUUUUUGGUCCAAGCUUACGCUUUUUGGGGAUCAGCACAUUGACUUUCACCAAACAACCCAAAUACGCAAGUACGAGAGUGUUGUCCUUCUCUUCGCCCAUUUCUCAUAGGGAGUGAUCUCAUUAGCUUUUGUCAAAACUUUAUUCGGGACACGACAUCCCGUCAAUAUAGCCUCCCCCCACCAUGCCUUGGAUAAACCCGAUGUAUCUAACACGACGUUAACAAAAUCAGUUAGAGUACGAUUUUUCCGCUCGGCAACCCCGUUUUACUGGGGAGAAUAGGGAGGUGUCCUCUCAUGAAUAAUGCCGUGUUCCGCACAAAAGGAAUCAAACUCAACCUCGAGAAGUACUCUCCACCACGAUCUGACUAGACUCGUUUAAUUUUAUUUUCAAGUUGAUUCUCAACUUCUGCCUUAUAGAUUUUAAAAUAGUGUAGAUCCUCAUCUUUAGUAUUUAACAGAUACACAUAGCAAUAUCUAGUGGAAUCAUCUAUCAAUGUCAUGAAGUAUUUCUUUCCACCUUUAGUCAACACACCACUCAUCUCACAAAGAUUAGAAUGUAUGAGUUAUAAUGGUACCACGUGUCUCUCCUCCGCAGCCUUGUGAGGCUGGCGAGGUUGCUUAGCUUGCACACAUGAAAAGCACUUAGAACCUUUGGCUAAAGUGAAACUCGGGAUUAAAUCCAACUUAGCUAGCCACAUCAUAACACCGAAACUUAUGUGACAAAGACGUGAAUGGCAAACUUCAGAUUCAUUAACACUCAAAUGAAUAUAGUUCACGACUUUAUUACAGAAAUCUGCGAGGAAAAGGCGGAACAUCCCUCCGCUCCCAUAACCUUUUCCAACAAAUAGUCCAUGCUUAGUAAUAACUAAUUUAUUAGACUCGAAUACCAACUUAAACCCUUCUCUACAUAGAAGGGAGCCACUAACGAGGUUCUUCUUGAUGGUGGGGACAUGCUGCACGUUCUUCAGCUGCACGAUCCUUCCCGAAGUAAACUUCAGAUCGACCAUGCCAACACCAUGAACAGAAGCACUCGUGCCAUUCCCUAUCAAUAUGGACUCGUGGCCUGUGACCUAGUAAGAAGAAAACAAUGAAAUGUCAGCACAUACAUGAACACCUACACCUGUGUCCACCCACCAAUCGGUGGGCUGAAACACUGAAAAAACAGUAAAUAAAUUACCGUACCCAGAUGCACCAUUCUUAUUGUUGUCCACAAUCAUGUUGACAGACUUGGAGUCCUGUCCUGACUUCUUAAACUUGUUUGGGCACUUGUUGGCCUAAUGUUCAACCGAACCACAAGUAAAGCAGCCCUUAUCCUUCUUGUUCUUCUUGAAGGUCUUCUUACACUUCUUUUUAAAGUCGGUAUUGUGUUGGACACUGUUCUUUCCCUUGGGCUUGUGGGAGUUAAAGUUUCUCUGGUUCACCAUAUUGGCGACAGAAGUCCCUUCCGCCCCUUUUCCAUGCGAGUCCUUUGCCCUCGAAUUCUGCUCAACACUUAGAUGACCAAUGCCAUCCUCCACUGAGAAUUCACGCCUCUGAUGUUUCAGAGUGGUGGCAAAGUUCCUCCAGAAAUUAUGGAGCUUAGCGAUUAUGUAGCCUGUGACAAACUUGCCCGGUAACUCGCACUUAAGCAGCUCAAGCUCCUUAAUGAUGCAUAUUAUCUCAUGAGCUUGCUCUAGUACAGGACGGUUUUCAACCAUCUUGUAAUCGUGGAACUGCUCUAUAAAUAUACAUUUCGCUCCCAACAUUGGUGGCCCCAAAUUUAGAUUCGAGCGCCUCCCACAAGUCCUUGGCGACACGCACAUGUAAAUAUGGGUCGACCAACUUAUCUCCGAUCACGCUAAGAACUGCUCCGAGGAACACGACGGUGACUUCCUUGAACACAUUAUCCUGUUCAGGAGCAAUCGUUCCCAAAGGGACACCAGUGACCCAGAACACGUUCAUAGCUGUGAGCCAUAAGGUGGUCUUUGUCAGCCAACGCUUAAAAUAUGUAUCGGUAAACUUAUCCGGUUUCAGUGCUGCGGCAAAGCCACUUGCCGAAAAAUUCCUACACAUAAUAUGUUUUUGGAUUGUUGAGAAAAUAGGCAAUUUUUUUGACUAAUUUAAUCCAUAGAUAAAUCACUAGCAUGGCAUUGACUGAAUUGACAAGAUACUGACUCUGAUAUAAACAUGCAUGUACUAGGCAAACAGUAGACAAAUCUACCAUACUACUAGUACUGCUAAUACGAAAAUAAACAUGAGCGGGAUAAAUGUGUUAUAACCUCCAGUAGGCCAGGCAGAAGCCGCGACGGCGGUGACAACAGCAGCGGCAUCCUCGGUGGCCUUCUUGUUGGCCUCGAUCUUCUCGACGAUGGCACGUUCGGCGGUGGACAUGGUGAUGACGAAGACGACGCGGGCAUAGAGGAAGUAGUGGAUCAAAAGCGAGCAGUCGCGUAAUCGCUUCCCAAAAACCUAUUCGCCUCUCUUCCAUACAGGAAUCGGAGAGACGGGGUUUCGGAGAUCUGCUCUCCCACCGACCGUGUACGGUCAUCCGCCACUGGAAGGACGACGGCGACGAAGACAACAACAUGGGCGAUGGGUACCGGUGGCCCCUGCCUAUGAGGUCACCAUCUCGUAUCCCACAUAGUUUUAGUUUAGUUUUCAAAAAGUUUAAUUGAACUCGUCGGCUUUGCAUGUAAAUAUACGAAACUUCUUUAAAUUUUGUUUGUUUUUUAUGAAUUUCAUUUGUCCGUGAAUUAUCCGUUUGAAUGUGUGAGGACGUUUACAUGUCCAUGGAUGUUUUACGUGUCCGUUUUGAUGGACGAUGUUAGAGAUGCCCUAAGCAGCAUCGAGCUGGAGCUGGAGCCGGAGCCGGAGUCGGUUGCUUGUUAUUACUGAGAGGGCAUUUCACAGCAUAAUAAUAAAGUUUUUAUAACAAGUAAAAUCUUAUGUUCAAUUUGGGUUGAAUAUUUGUACAUUCUGUAUCAUACCUACUCCCUCCGUUUCUAGAUAAUUUUUUAACAUCAGUACAGACACAAGCACUCAUAUACACGCGCAUACACUCAUCACUAUGAACGCACACACGCACACCCUAUUCCUAUGAGCACCUCCGAAAGACCGAGCCGGCAUAUCAUCUUGAAAUUUACGAAGUCACUGUAGGCACCUCGUCGUCGACGGAAACAUCUCCUCCCACUGAAUGCGCAUCGCCGAAAAUCCUGAAAUGAAUCCAGGAAUAAAUGCGAGCAUCAGAAUUUGAACCCUGGUGGGUUGGGGAUACCACAAUCGCUCUAACCAUCCAACCAAAGGUUGAUAUCCUUGCAUAUUGAAAAAAUGUGUACCUUCCGUACAGACUUUUUUCACAAGUAUCUAGUUCGUAUAGACUACAUAUUGAACAAAAUGAGUGAAUCAUACCUAUUCCCGCUGUAUCUAGUUCACUUUGAAAAAUCUAUGAAAAGAGUUAUACUCCCUCCGUCUGAAAAAGUCUGUCCCUCAAAUGGAUGCAUCUAACACCAAGUUAAACCUAGAUACAUCCAUUUGAAGAACAAACUUGGGACAAGUUUUUUCGGACGGAGGGAGUAUUUAGGAACGGACGGGAGUAUAUCAUACCGUGCAUGCAUGCGGCUGCAUGCCAGAGGGAGGUGGACGUUUGGCUCUCGGGUGCUAGUGCACAUGAUUUUCUUUAAUACUCCUUCCGUCCCCAAAUAUCUGUCCUAACUGGUCAUUUCGCAAAAACGACCUCGCCUUUUCUGUGAGAGUAGCGUCUUUUGUAUUUACAGGUCUUCCACGACCCUGACAUAAACUCUGUUCUUCUUCCUUAAUUAAUGAAUGAGACAAGUCUUUUGCCUCCUCUUUCAAAAAAAGAAAUUCUGCAUUGUCCGUGAUUUAUGGAGUAGAGCGCGGCACUGCUUCACAAGCAAGCAAAUACGCGAGUCAACAGACCAAGCAUGUAAAAACCAACGAUCCAGUAAGAACCUGUAGAUUUGGCAGCCCGUCUCCUUCAGCUUCCGUCCUCAGCGAAAAGCACAUGGCGGACAGUUUGCAAACGAAUCAGAAACAUAACAGAAACAACAACGGCUAAUAGUUGCAGUACCAUUUACUACUUGAACACAAAAGGUGGAAAAGGAAGACAUCCAAUAAAUUAAAUAUGUACCUUUCGUACAUACAUUUUUCAAUAGCUUCAAAUUAUUUUCAGUGGAAUGGCUCAACACAAAGUUCCCUUGUACCCUAAACCCUAAACCCUCAUGGCUCAAUCUGUUGCCAAAUUGGAUCACCGAUUUCUAUAUAUCGCAUUCGUGAGAUAUGUGAGGUGCUUGGUAUUACCUGGUAAGGCAUCUGCUGAACUUAAGCUCUUUCAGGUUCUUUGGGCUGCCGUUAUGCUUACCCAUCAGCCAACUCGAUCGGUAUCCUCCUACCAUGGUAAUUCCUCAUUUCUAGUCUUUCAAGAUUCUUUGAAGGGCAAAGGUACAUGUUCAAAGUAUUUAAAAUUUCAGAAAGGUACAUGUUUUCAAAGAUGCUCCAGAAACUUUAGAAAAUAUUUGUGUUUUUAAUAAAUGUUCCUGAAAUUUUAUAAAAAUGUUUUUUUUCUCGAAUACAUUCUAUUAAAAUGUUCACGUUUAAAAAUACUCACAAUCUGAAAAAAUGUUCAUGUUUUAAAAAUAUGUGAAUGACACUGGCAUUGGGAGUAAAUCCCAACAAAUAUGAUUUUUCUUUCCGAGAAAGAUGACUAUUUCAAGAGAGAAAGAUGACUGGCUUAACAAAGCUAGUCUGAAUUAUCUCUCUGUCUCUCUAAAAAAAAGAAGCUAGUGGGGGCCCAGCCCAGCCCAAUGAACGAGUAUGAUGGAAGAGGCUCGUCCGGAGACGAGGCCCGACUCUGACCCGAGGUUCACCUGGAAAUAUAUACGCUCCCCGGCCGCCGCCUUGUCCCGUUUUCGUCCAGAAGAAGAUACAGCGGGAGAGAGAGAGAAAUCCACAAAACCCUAACCAACAGGGAGAGGAGAGAGGCGGAGCGGGUCCGACGAUGGCCGCCGACAAGAUGCCGAUGGCCAGAGCGGAGCAGGAGGCGCCGGUCCUCAAGGCCAAGGCGAAGAAGGCCAAGCCGGAGGAGGCGACGAUCAAGGCCAACGUGGAUGUGGAGACCAUCACGACGGAGGAGGGGCUCAUCAAGUUCAUGGAGCUGCUGGAGAAGGAGGCGGCGUUCCUCAAGGCCAAGGCGGAGGCGGAGAAGGAGGCGGCGGGGUGUGGCUCCAAGAGAAAGCCGGUGUUGGAGCGGGACGAGGAGUUGGCGGCGUUCGUCGCGAGGAUGGAAUCCUUGAGGCCGUUGUACGGGGAAGAGGACGUUUCAGACGGCUACAACUCGCAGGACGACGACCCCAACACCACCUUCGGCGACGUCAUGGCGCAGUUGGAGCAGCAAAUCCAGGCCAACAACGCUCGCUGGCCUUUCUUAAUUGGUGGCGGCCAAAUCAAAUCCCCUGAAGAUGCUGAUGGGGCUCCUCUGGUGUGAGAAACUGAGAAGGAACUUCACCAAUGCUAGCUAUGCCAUCUACCAACUGUGUAUAUAUCUCUAUAUAUGUGGAGUAUACAGAUAGUGAGAUAGAUAUCGUAUACAUCUUACUGAGACUGGACCGUGUUGCGUAACUAGCCGGCAAUAACAUUCAGACCAUUGAUAAGAUGAUGAAACUGGUCCCUCCUCUAAGAACCUGACUGGAAAUUUCCUGCUGCCUUCAAGGUCUAUUGUGCCGCGUUACUUGUAGUACAACCCAAGUAGAUCUAACAUUAUUUUUUAGGAGCUGGACGACGAAGCCUCAGAAUCAGAUUAAUAAGAUGACGCGGUCACUCGAUUUUUAUAGGGUCAGGAGGGACAAUAAAGACAUGUUGUUUUCUAUCAGUCUCAAGCGGAUACUUCCAGCUUCCACGCUAGUAUUAUCCAAGUUGGUUAUAAGAUAAACUUAUUGCAAAGUUGGACACCGUGACAAGUUGCUCUUUGCCAUCAAUAGAAUGAGAUGGAUGGUUUGUUUCCUGUUACCUGACCAUUCUAAAGAGCACAUGUGGAUUAUUAGCUUCGGUUUCUGUUGUACAUGAACCUUGCUUCUCUGUUUGCUGUCUGUUCAUCGUUACAGAAACAGUGAGCCGCCUGAGAUGAUGGCGCGCGGUCGACUGAAAGUCUGAAACUGUUUUUUUUUUCAGUCGCCUGACAGAUAGUCACCCCCCUAUAGCAUUAUAUAUGCAUGCUCAGGCAUCUCUCUCAAGUCCCAACUGGUACUUGUUUAUGUAUCUUAGCUGUCUUCAAGGUCUGUGUACAUAUUGAUCCUGCAGCCUAGCUAGCCUUCUCUUAGUUGAUUCCUUUUCAUGGUUAACGACUGCCAAAGUUGCUCUUUUAUGUUGUGUUGCAGACUUGCAGUGUCUUGCUGUUAAAGCAAGAGGAUUUGAGUUGCACUUGCAAUCAAUACCAGCCCCCCAAGGCCUAGGUGAGAUGGAUGGUUGAUUUCCUUACCUCUAUAUAUGACCAUUCUACAGAGUACAUGAUGAUUUUUCGCUUUGAGUUCUGUUGUACAUGAACCUUGUUUCUCUGUUUGCUGUUUGUUCAUUGUUCGCCAGAAACAGUGAGCUUGUGUUCAGCUCAUUAAUUACUUCAGCAUGACUCCACUAAUACUGAUAUCUUAGCUAUAACUCCCUAGUCGUCCAGUGUAGCUAUAACCUAAUCAAUGGAUAUGUAGGCCAGAUCCCUGUUUUGAAUAGAGACAUUCAGCACUACACAUGACACUUUCAGUGGAUGCUGUUACUGUCCAGGCGUAAGUUAUGGACAUGUAAACAUGAAAAAAAAAGUUGAUAGUGAAGUUAGUUGUUACAGGCCAUUUCAAUCUAACUUCAAACAACAUGUACACAUUUUUUUUGCAAGGAACAACAUGUACACUUCAUUGAAGGUCGUUACUGUCAGGCGUAAAUUAAGUGCCAUGCUUAACGGCUAAUUAUUUUUGAUAGGAUGUUUACACGGCUACCUUAUUAUUGGGCACUUUCUGCAGAGCAGGAUGGUGCAUUAAUCAAAUCAUAGUGUCAGCACUAAUUAAGGAGAAAAGUAGGAACCGUGGCCGACCUGAUCUUGUCUUUGUUGGAUAAAUGGCAACUAGUAUUACCUGAGGGCCAAAGGCCAUUACAUAUACAUGUGUGUUAAAGUGCAGAAAACCCCUUAUACAAUGGGGAUAUACCGAAAAGGGACUAUACACAUCUAACACGCCCCCUCAAACUCAUGGUGGAUCAACAACACUGAGUUUGGAGAGGAAAAAGCCGUGCUGCGCUCGAGUUUGUGCCUUGGUGAAGAAGUCUGCCAACUGUAACUCAGAGGNNNNNNNNNNNNNNNNNNNNNNNNNNNNNNNNNNNNNNNNNNNNNNNNNNNNNNNNNNNNNNNNNNNNNNNNNNNNNNNNNNNNNNNNNNNNNNNNNNNNNNNNNNNNNNNNNNNNNNNNNNNNNNNNNNNNNNNNNNNNNNNNNNNNNNNNNNNNNNNNNNNNNNNNNNNNNNNNNNNNNNNNNNNNNNNNNNNNNNNNNNNNNNNNNNNNNNNNNNNNNNNNNNNNNNNNNNNNNNNNNNNNNNNNNNNNNNNNNNNNNNNNNNNNNNNNNNNNNNNNNNNNNNNNNNNNNNNNNNNNNNNNNNNNNNNNNNNNNNNNNNNNNNNNNNNNNNNNNNNNNNNNNNNNNNNNNNNNNNNNNNNNNNNNNNNNNNNNNNNNNNNNNNNNNNNNNNNNNNNNNNNNNNNNNNNNNNNNNNNNNNNNNNNNNNNNNNNNNNNNNNNNNNNNNNNNNNNNNNNNNNNNNNNNNNNNNNNNNNNNNNNNNNNNNNNNNNNNNNNNNNNNNNNNNNNNNNNNNNNNNNNNNNNNNNNNNNNNNNNNNNNNNNNNNNNNNNNNNNNNNNNNNNNNNNNNNNNNNNNNNNNNNNNNNNNNNNNNNNNNNNNNNNNNNNNNNNNNNNNNNNNNNNNAGGAUGGGUGACCGUCCGGGAAGUUAGAUGAUUUGAAAUGAUGAGGGGUGAUUAGAGAUUAGAGAUUAAAUUGAGCAGCGAUGAGGGGUGAUUAGAGGUUAAAAUAAUUCAGAAAUUUGAAAAUUAAGGGGAAAAAAUUGAAAAAGAAAAUUUGAAAAAAAAUCAAAAAAAAUCAGAGAUUAGAGAUUAGUAGUAGCGCGGGUUUUUACCCACGCUACUACUAACGGACGUAGUAGUAGCUGUAGCGCCGUAUUAGUAGCGCCGGUCCCCGCGCUACUACUAUACGUUAGCUGUAGCGCCGUAUUAGUAGCGCCGGUCCCCGCGCUACUAAUAGGCCCAAAACCCGCGCUGCUGCUAGGCUUUUCCCUAGUAGUGGCUUCAUGAUGCUCUCUUUAUGUUUCAAUUCUUAUCUUUUAUGUGAGCAUCAUUGUCAUCAUCAUGCCUAGCUAGAAAGGCAUUAAAGAAAGACGCUUGUUGGGAGAUAACCCAAUAUUUAUCCUUACUGUUUUUGUGUGUCCACAUGAUUAUGCUACUGUAGUAAUCAUGCUUUAUAGCUUUUGUUUUAAUAAAGUGCCAAGUAGAACCUUUGGGAAGACUUGGGUGAAGUUUAUGUGAUCUUGCUAUGAAAAACAGAAACUUUAGUGCUCACAAGAUUAGCUGCUUUUUUUUACUGGAGAGUGCUUUUAGGUUGAUUCUUUUUGCAGAUGAUUAAUAGACAAAUCCCUCAGGUCCACCAAUUUAUUUCAUAAUUUUUGGGGUUCCAGAAGUAUACGUUUGAUACAGAUUACUACAGACUGUUUUGUUUUUGACAGAUUCUGUUUUCAUUGUGUUGUUUGCUUAUUUUGAUGAAUCUAUGAGUAGUAUCGGAGGGUAUGAACCAUAGAUAAGUUGGAAUACAGUAGGCUUUACACCAAUAUAAAUUUAGAAUGAGUUCAUUACAGUACCUAAAUGGUGGUUUAAAUUUUCUUAUACUAACGGAGCUUACGAGUUUUGUUUUGAGUUUUGUGUGGUUGAAGUUUUCAAGUUUUGGGUAAAGAUUCAAUGGAAUAUAGAAUAAGGAGUGGAGAGAGCCUAAUCUUGGGGAUGUCCAAGGCACCCCAAGAUACUAUUCAAGGACAACCAAGCAACUAAGCUUGGGGAUGCCCCGGAUGGCAUCCCCUCUUUCGUCUUCGUUCGGUAACUUUACUUGGAGCUAUAUUUUUAUUCGCCACAUGAUAUGUGUUUUGCUUGGAGCGUCAUUUUAUUUUGUUAGUUUUUGCUUGCUAUUAGUUAGAAUAAUGUUUUGCAUCUUUAGUUUCAAUAAAAAAGUCAAGGAUAGUCUUUGCCAUGCUUAUUUUGCUAGUAUACAUGUUGCUGUUUGAAAACAGAAAGUUUACCGCUGUUGCAAAAAUUCCCUAGAAAAGUAAGAGAAUGGUAUAACAUUGAAUCUUUUUGCAUAUUAAGCUCUGAUAAAUUUAUUACAGUGGGAAUUUUAGUUCAUAAUUUUUGGAGUUAGGGAAGUAUUGAUACUCUUGCAUUCUUUACAGACUGUACUGUUUUGGCAGAUUGCUGUUAUGUUUGCAUUGUUGGCAUAUGUUUGCUUGUUUAAUGAUUCUAUUUGAGGAUAGGAGUAUUAAAUAUUCAGAGACAUUUAUAUGCAAUGUUGAAUAAUAAUGUUAGUGAUUUGUUACAAUAGAAGAUGAUAAGGUUUUGCAUUGGUUUAUACUAACCGAUCUCACGAGUUCUUGUUGAGUUUGUUGUGAAUGAAGCUUUUGAUAAAAAGAGAAACCGUGACAUGAAAGGAAUUAAGGAGACACAAAUGCUCAAGCUUGGGGAUGCCCAAGGCACCCCAAGAUAAUAUUUCAAAAAGUCUCAAUCAUCUAAGCUUGGGGAUGCCCCGGUAGGCAUCCCACCUUUCUUCUUCAACAACUAUCGGUUAGUAUCGAUUGAGCCUAAGUAUUUGCUUCUUCACAUGAGUUGUGCUAUCCUUGCAUUAUCAUUUUAUUUUGUUUUUCUUGCUGCCUGAAUACAAUACCAAGAUCUGAAAUUCUUUAAUGAGAGAGAGUCCUUGCAUAGUUGCAUAAUUAUUUUGCUAGAAUACUCAUUGUGCUUCACUUAUAUCUUUUGAGCUUGAUAAUUUUUGCUCUAGUGCUUCACUUAUAUCCUUUAGAGCACGGUGGUGGAUUUGUUUUAAAGAAACUAUUGAUCUCUCAUGCUUCACUUAGAUUAUUUUGAGAGUCGUUAAUAGCAUGGUAAUUUGCUUAAUGUUAAUAUACUUGGUGUUCAAGAUAUGUGAAACUUUCUUUUGAGUGCGUUGAAUACUAAGAUAAGUUUGAUGCUUGAUAAUUGUUUUGAGAUAUGGAGGUAAUAAUAUCAAAGUCAUGCUACUUGAGUAGUUGUGAAUUUGAGAAAUACUUGUGUUGAAGUUGGUAAAUCCCAUAGCAUGCAUGUAUGGUUAAAGUUGUGUAACAAAUUUGAAGCAUGAAGUGUACCUGGCUUGUGCAUCCUUAUGAGUGGCGGUCGGGGACGAGCGAUGGUCUUUUCCUAACAAUCUAUCCCCCUAGGAGCAUGCGCGUAGUACGUGAUUUUUGAUGACUUCUAAAUUUUUGUAAUAAAUAUAUGAGUUCUUUUGACUAAUGUUGAGUCCAUGGAUUAUACACACUUUUACCUUUCCGCCAUUGCUAGCCUCUUCGGUACCGUGCAUUGCCCUUUCUCACAUUGAGAGUUGGCGCAAACUUCGCCGGUGCAUCCAAACUCCAUGAUACGAUGCGCUCUAUCACACAUAAACCUCCCUAUAUCUUCCUCAAAACAGCCACCAUACCUACCUAUUAUGGCAUUUCCAUAGCCAUUUCGAGAUAUAUUGCCAUGCAACUUUCCACCGUUCCGUUCAUCAUUAUUAUGACAUACAUUAUUUUUGUCAUAUUGCCAUUGCAUGAUCAUGUAGUUGACAUCGUAUUUGUGGCAAAGCCACCAUGCAUUAUUUUUCAUACAUGUCACUCUUGAUUCAUUGCACCAUCCCGGUACACCGCCGGAGGCAUUCAUAUAGAGUCAUACCUUGUUCUAGUUUCGAGUUGUAAUCCUCAUGUUGUAAUCAAUAGAAGUGUAAUGAUCAUCAUUAUUAGAGCAUUGCCCAAAUUUAAAAAAAAAAGAGAAAGACCAAAAUAAAAAAAAUGAAGGCCAAAAAAAGGGCAAUGCUACUAUCUCUUUUUCCACACUUGUGCUUCAGAGUAGCACCAUGUUCUUCAUGUAGUGAGUCUCAUAUUUUGUGCUUCAAAGUAGCACCUCGUUCUUCAUGUAGUGAGUCUCAUAUAUUGUGCUUCAAAGUAGCACCAUGUUUUUCAUAUAGUGAGUCUCAUAAGUUGUCUUUUUCAUACUAGUGGGAAUUUUUCAUUAUAGAACUUGGCUUGUAUAUUCCUACGAUGGGCUUCCUCAAAUGCCCUAGGUCUUCAUGAGCAAGCAAGUUGGAUGCACACCCACUAGUUUUCUUUUGUUGAGCAUUCAUAGCUCUAGUGCAUCCGUUGCAUGGCAAUCCCUACUCCUCAUGUUGACAUCAAUUGAUGGGCAUCUCCAUAGCCCGUUGAUUAUCCUCGUCAAUGUGAGACUUUCUCCUUUUUUGUCUUCUCCACACAAUCCCCAUCAUCAUAUUCUAUUCCACCCAUAGUGCUAUAUCCAAGGCUCACGCUCAUGUAUUGCGUGAAGGUUGAAAAAGUUUGAGAUUAUUUAAGUAUGAAACAAUUGCUUGGCUUGUCAUCGGGGGUAUAGAAGUUGGGAACAUCUUUGUGUGACGAAAAUGAAGCAUAGCCUAACUAUAUGAUUUUGUAGGGAUGAACUUUCUUUUGCCAUGUUAUUUUGAGAAGACAUGAUUGCUUUUGAUUAGUAUGCUUGAAGUAUUAUUAUUUUUGUGUCAAUAUGAACUUCUGUCUUGAAUCUUUCGGAUCUGAAUAUUCAUAUCACAAUUAAGAAGAUUUACAUUGAAAUUAUGCCAAAGUAUCAUUCCGCAUCAAAAAUUCUUUUUUACCAUUUACCUACUCAAGGACGAGCAGGAAUUAAGCUUGGGGAUGCUUGAUACAUCUCUAACGUAUCUAUAAUUUUUGAUUGCUCCAUGCUACUUUAUCUACUGUUUUAGGCAAUAUUGUGAUUUAUUUUCCACUCUUAUAUUAUUUUUGGGACUAACCUAUUAAUCGGAGGCCCAGCCCAGAUUUGCUGUUUUAUGCCUAUUUCAGUGUUUCGAGGAAAAGGAAUAUCAGACGGAGUCAAAACGGAACGAAAUCAACUGGAGAAGUUAUUUUUGGAAGGAAAGCCACCCGAUGGACUUGGAGUGCACGUCAGGAGAUACGGGAGGUGCUCACGAGGGUGGGGGCGCGCCCUACCCGCCUGGGCGCGCCCCCUGCCUCGUGGGGCCCCCGUAGCUCCACCGACGUACCCCCUGCACCCAUAUAUACCUACUGAAGGAAAUAUGCCCUAGAGGCAAUACUAAAGUUAUUAUUUAUUUCCUUAUUUCAUGAUAAAUGUUUAUUAUUCAUGCUAGAAUUGUAUUAACCGGAAACAUAAUACAUGUGUGAAUACAUAGACAAACAUAGUGUCACUAGUAUGCCUCUACUUGACUAGCUCGUGAAUCAAAGAUGGUUAAGUUUCCUAGCCAUGGACAAAAGAGUUGUCAUUUGAUUAACGGGAUCACAUCAUUAGGAGAAUGAUGUGAUUGACAUGACCCAUUCCGUUAGCCUAGCACUUGAUCGUUUAGUAUGUUGCUAUUGCUUUCUUCAUGACUUAUACAUGUUCCUGUAACUAUGAGAUUAUGCAACUCCCGUUUACCGAAGGAACACUUUGGGUGCUACCAAACGUCACAACGUAACUGGGUGAUUAUAAAGGAGUACUACAGGUGUCUCCGAAGGUACAUGUUGAGUUGGCAUAUUUCGAGAUUAGGUUUUGUCACUCCGAUUGUCGGAGAGGUAUCUCUGGGCCCUCUCGGUAAUGCACAUCACUACAAGCCUUGCAAGCAAUGUGACCAAUGAGUUGGUUACGGGAUGAUGCAUUACGUAACGAGUAAAGCGACUUGCCGGUAACGAGAUUGAACUAGGUAUUGGAUACCGACGAUCAAAUCUCGGGCAAGUAACAUACCGAUGACAAAGGGAACAACGUAUGUUGUUAUGCGGUUUGACCGAUAAAGAUCUUCGUAGAAUAUGUAGGAACCAAUAUGGGCAUCCAGGUUCCGCUAUUGGUUAUUGACCGAGAAUAGUUCUAGGUCAUGUCUACAUUGUUCUCGAACCCGUAGGGUCCGCACGCUUAAGGUUUUGAUGACAGUUAUAUUAUGAGUUUAUGAGUUUUGAUGUACCGAAGGAGUUCGGAGUCUCGGAUGAGAUCGGGGACAUGACGAGGAGUCUCAAAAUGGUCGAGACGUAAAGAUCGAUAUAUUGGACGACUAUAUUCGGAGUUCGGAAAGGUUCCGAGUGAUUCGGGUAUUUUUCGGAGUACCGGAGAGUUACGGGAAUUCGCCGGAGAGUAUAUGGGCCUUAUUGGGCCAUACGGGAAUAGAGGAAAGAGGCCGAAAGGAAGGAGGCGCGCAGCCCCCCUCUGGUCCGAAUUGGACAAGGGGUGCGGCCCCCUUUUCCUUCCUCCUCUCCUCCUCUUUCCCCCUUCUCCUACUCCAACAAGGAAGGAGGGAGUCCCACUCCCCUUGGCGCGCCCCUCCUAGGCUGGCCGCCCCCUCCUCCCUUGCUCCUUUAUAUACGGAGGCACGGGGGCACCCCAAGAGACACAAGUUGAUCUACGGAUCGUUCCUUAGCCGUGUGCGGUGCCCCCCUCCACCAUAUUCCACCUCGGUCAUAUCGUCACGGAGUUUAGGCGAAGCCCUGCGCCGGUAGAGCAUCAUCAUCGUCACUACGCCGUCGUGCUGACGAAACUCAUCCCCGAAGCUUUGCUGGAUCGGAGCCCGAGGAUCGUCAUCGAGCUGAACGUGUGCUGAACUCGGAGGUGCCGUACGUUCGGUACUUGGAUCGGUCGGAUCGUGAAGACGUACGACUACAUCAACCGUGUUGUCAUAACGCUUCCGCUUACGGUCUACGAGGGUACGUGGACAACACUCUCCCCUCUCGUUGCUAUGCCAUCACCAUGAUCUUGCGUGUGCGUAGGAAUUAUUUUUGAAAUUACUACGUUCCCCAACAGUGGCAUCCGAGCCUAGGUUUUAUGCGUAGAUGUUAUAUGCACGAGUAGAACACAAGUGAGUUUUGGGCGAUACAAGUCAUACUGCUUACCAGCAUGUCAUACUUUGGUUCGGUGGUAUUGUGAGAUGAAGCGGCCCGGACCGACAUUACGCGUACGCUUAUGCGAGACUGGUUUCACCGUUACGAGCACUUGUGCUUAAAGGUGGCUGGCGGGUGUCUGUCUCUCUCACUUUAGCUGAAUCGAGUGUGGCUACGCCCGGUCCUUGCGAAGGUUAAAACAACACCAACUUGACGAACUAUCGUUGUGGUUUUGAUGCGUAGGUAAGAACGGUUCUUGCUCAGCCCGUAGCAGCCACGUAAAACUUGCAACAACAAAGUAGAGGACGUCUAACUUGUUUUUGCAGGGCAUGUUGUGAUGUGAUAUGGUCAAGACGUGAUGAGAUAUAAGUUGUUGUAUGAGAUGAUCAUGUUUUGUUGAAGUUAUCGGCAACUGGCAGAAGCUCUAUGGUUGUCUCUUUGUUGCAUAAGAUACAAGUGCCAAAUAAUUGCUUUACUUUAUCGCUAUGCGAUAGCAAUAGUUGCAAGAGCAAUAGUUGGCGAGACGACCAUGUGACGACACAUUGAUAUAGAUCAAGAUGAUGAAGAUCAUGGUGUCGUGCCGAUGAUGAUAGAGAUCAUGACAGUACUUUGGAGAUGGAGAUCAAAGGCGCAAAAUGAUCAUGGCCAUAUCAUGUCACAUAUUUUGAUUGCAUAUGAUGUUUAUCUGUUAUACAUCUUAUUCUGUUUUGUUUGAAGGUAGCAUUUUAAGAUGAUCUCUCACUAAUUAUCAAGAAGUGUUCUCCCUGACUAUGCACCGUUGUGAAAGUUCUUUGUGCUGAGACACCACGUGAUGAUCGGGUGUGAUAGGCUCUACGUUCAAAUACAACGGGUGCAAAACAGUUGCACACGCGGAAUACUCGGGUUAAACUUGACGAGCCUAGCAUAUACAGAUAUGGCCUCGGAACACGGAGACCGAAAGGUCGAACGUGAAUCAUAUAGUAGAUAUGAUCAACAUAGUGAUGUUCACCAUUGAAACUACUCCAUCUCACGUGAUGAUCGGACAUGGUUUAGUUGAUUUGGAUCACGUGAUCACUUAGAUGACUAGAGAGAUGUCUGUCUAAGUGGGAGUUCUUAAGUAAUAUGAUUAAUUGAACUUUAAUUUAUCAUGAACUUAGUCUUGGUAGUAUUUUGCAAAUUAUGUAGUAGAUCAAUAGCUCGCGUUGUUGCUUCCCUAUGUUUUUUGCUUCCCUAUGUUUUUAUAUGUGUUCCUAGAGAAAUACUAAGUUGAAAAGAAGUUACUAGCAAUGAUGCGGAUUGGAUCCGUGAUCUGAGGUUUAUCCUCAUUGCUGCACAGAAGAAUUAUGUCCAUAAUGCACCGCUAGGUGACAGACCUAUUGCAGGAGCAGAUGCAGACGUUAUGAACGUUUGGCUAGCUCAAUAUGAUGACUACUUGAUAGUUUAGUGCACCAUGCUUAACGGCUUAGAAUCGGGAUUUCAAAGAUGUUUUUGAAUGUCAUGGACCAUAUGAGAUGUUCCAAGAGUUGAAGUUAAUAUUUCAAGCAAAUACCCGAGUUGAGAGAUAUGAAGUCUCCAACAAGUUCUAUGGCUAAAAGAUGGAGGAGAAUCGCUCAACUAGUGAGCAUGUGCUCAGAUUGUCUGGGUACUACAAUCGCUUGAAUCAAGUGGGAGUUAAUCUUCCAGAUAAGAUAGUGAUUGACAGAAUUCUCUAGUCACCAUCACCAAGUUAGUAGAACUUUGUGAUGAACUAUAGUAUGCAAGGGAUGACGAAAACGAUUCCCAAGCUCUUCGUGAUGUUGAAAUCGACGAAGGUAGAAAUCAAGAAAGAGCAUCAAGUGUUGAUGGUUGACAAGAUCACUAGUUUCAAGUAAAGGGCAAAGGGAAAGAAAGGGAACUUCAACUAGAAUGACAAGCAAGUUGUCACUCCCACGAAGAAGCCCAAAGCUGAACCAAAGCCUGAAACUGAGUGCUUACACUGCAAAGGAAAUGGUCACUGGAAACGGAAAUACCCUGAAUAUUUGGUGGAUAAGAAGGAUGGCAAACUGAACAAGGGUAUAUUUGAUAUACAGGUUAUUGAUGUGUGCCUUACUAGUGUUUAUAGUAGCCCCUAAGUAUUUGAUACUUGUUCGGUUGCUAAGAUUAGUAACUCGAAACAGGAGUUACAGAAUAAACAGAGACUAGUUGAAGGUGAAGUCACGAUGUGUGUUGGAAGUAGUUCCAAGAUUGAUAUGAUCAUCAUCGCACACUCCCUAUACUUUCGGGAUUAGUGUUAAACCUAAAUAAAUGUUAUUUGGCAUUUGUGUUGAGCAUGAAUAUGAUUUGAUCAUGUUUAUUGCAAUACGGUUAUUCAUUUAAAGUCAGAGAAUAAUUGUUGUUCUGUUUACAUGAAUAAGACCUUCGAUGGUCAUACACCCAAUGAACAUAGUUUGUUGGAUCUCGAUAGUAGUGAUACACAUAAUCAUAAUAUUGAUGCCAAAAGAUGCAAAGUUAAUAAUGAUAGUGCAACUUAUUUGUGGCACUGCCGUUUGGGUCAUAUCGGUGUAAAGCGCAUGAAGAAACUCCAUAAAGAUGGAUUUUCGGAAUCACUUGGUUAUGAAUCAUUUGAUGCUUGCGAACCGUGCCUUUUGGGCAAGAUGACUAAAACUCCGUUCUCCGGAACAAUGGAACGAGCUACUGACUUGAUGCAAAAUAAUACAUACCGAUGUAUACGGUGUAAUGAGUGUUGAUGCUCGUGGCGGGUAUCGUUAUUUUCUGACCUUCACAAGAUGAUUUGAGCAUAUAUGAGUAUAUCCACUUAAUGAAGCACAAGACUGAAACAUUUGAAAAGUUCAAAGAAUUUCAGAGUGAAGUGAAGAAUCAUCGUAACAAGAAAAUAAAGUUUCUGCGAUUUGAUCACAGAGACAAAUAUUUAGUUAUGAGUUUGGCCUUCAUAUAAAACUAUGUGGAAUAGUUUCACAGCUCACGCCACAUGGAACACCACAACGUAAUGGUGUGUCCGAACGUCAUAACCGCACUUUAUUGGAUAUGGCGCGAUCUAUGAUGUAUCUUACCGAUUUACCACUAUCGUUUUGGGGUUAUGUAUUAAAGACAGCUGCAUUCACUUUAAAUAGGGCACCAUCUAAAUCCGUUGAGAUGACACCGUAUGAACUAUGGUUUAGCAAUAAACCUAAGCUGUCGUUUCUUAAAGUUUGGAGUUGCGAUGCUUAUAUGAAAAGGGUUUUCAACCUAAUAAGCUCGAACCCAAAUCGGAGAAGUGCGUCUUCAUAGAAUACCCAAAGGAAAUUGUUGGGUACACCUUCUAUCACAGAUCUGAAGGCAAGAUAUUAAUUGCUAAAAAUGGAUCCUUUCUAGAGAAGGAGUUUCUCUCGAAAGAAGUGAGUGGGAGGAAAGUAGAACUUGAUGAGGUAAUUGUACCUUCUCCCUUAUUGGAAAGUAGUUCAUCACAGAAAUCAGUUCCUGUGAUUCCUACACCAAUUAGUGAGGAAGCUAAUGAUGAUGAUCACGAAGCUUCAGAUCAAGUUACUACCGAACCUCGUAGGUCUUCCAAAAUAAGAUCCGCACCAAAGUUGUACGGUAAUCCUGUUCUAGAAGUCAUGUUACUAGACCAUGAUGAACCUACGAACUAUGAGGAAGCGAUGAUGAGCCCAGAUUCCGCGAAAUGGCUUGAGGCCAUAAAAUAUGAGAUAUGAUCCAUGUAUGAGAACAAAGUAUGGACUUUGAUUGACUUGCUCGAUGAUCAGCAAGCCAUGUUAAAUAAAUGGAUCUUCAAGAGGAAGACGGACACUGAUAGUAGUGUUACUAUCUACAAAGUUCGACUUGUUGCAAAAGGUUUUCGACAAGUUCAAGGUGUUGAAUAUGAUGAGAUUUUCUCACUCGUAACGAUGCUUAAGUCUGUCCGAAUCAUGUUAGCAAUUGCCACAUUUUAUGAAAUCUGGCAAAUGGAUGUCAAAACUGCAUUCCUUAAUGGAUUUAUUAAAGAAGAGUUGCAUAUGAUGCAACCAGAAGGUUUUGUCAAUCCUAAAGAUGCUAACAAAGUGUGCAAGCUCCAGCAAUCCAUCAAUGGACUGGUGCAAGCAUCUCGGAGUUGGAAUAUACGCUUUGAUGAGUUGAUCAAAGCAUAUGGUUUUAUACAGACUUUUGGAAAGGCCUGUAUUUACAAGAAAGUGAGUGGGAGCUCUGUAGCAUUUCUGAUAUUAUAUGUGCAAGACAUAUUGUUGAUUGGAAAUGAUAUAGAAUUUCUGGAUAGCAUAAAAGGAUACUUGAAUAAAAAGUUUUUCAAUGAAAGACCUCGGUGAAGCUGCUUACAUAUUGAGCAUCAAGAUCUAUUGAGAUAGAUCAAGACGCUUGAUAAGUUUUUCAAUGAGUACAUACCUUGAUAAAUUUUUGAAAUAGUUCAAAAUAGAACAGUCAAAGAAGGAGUUCUUGCCUGUGAUGCAAAGGUGUGAAGUUGAGUAAGACUCAAGACCCGACCAUGGCAGAAAAUAGAAAAGAGAAUGAAAGUCAUUCCCUAUGCCUCAGUCAUAGGUUCUAUAAAGUAUGCUAUGCUAUGUACCAGACCUAUUGUAUACCUUGUUCUGUAUUUGGUAAGGGAAUACAAUAGUGAUCUAGGAGUAGAUCACUGGACAUUGGUCAAGAAUAUCCUUAGUAAGGACUAAGGAAAUAUUUCUCGAUUAUGAAGGUGAUAAAAGAGCCCAUCAUAAAGAGUUACAUUGGUGCAAUCUUUUACACCGAUCCAGAUGACUCUAAGUCUCAAUCUGGAUACAUAUUGAAAGUGGGAGCAAUUAGCUAGAGUAGCUCCGUGCAGAACUUUGUAAACAUAGAAUAUUUGCAAAAUACAUACUGCUCUGAAUGUGACAGACCCGUUGACUAAGCUUCUCUCACGAGCAAAACAUGACCACACCUUAGUACUCUUUGGGUGUUAAUCACAUAACGAUGUGAACUAGAUUAUUGACUCUAGUAAACCCUUUGGGUGUUGGUCACAUGACGAUGUGAACAAUGGGUGUUAAUCAUAUACAAAUAUGAAUAUUGGUGUUAAAUCACAUGGCGAUGUGAACUAGAUUAUUGACUCUAGUGCAAGUGGGAGACUGAAGGAAAUAUGCCCUAGAGGCAAUACUAAAGUUAUUAUUUAUUUCCUUAUUUCAUGAUAAAUGUUUAUUAUUCAUGCUAGAAUUGUAUUAACCGGAAACAUAAUACAUGUGUGAAUACAUAGACAAACAUAGUGUCACUAGUAUGCCUCUACUUGACUAGCUCGUGAAUCAAAGAUGGUUAAGUUUCCUAGCCAUGGACAAAAGAGUUGUCAUUUGAUUAACGGGAUCACAUCAUUAGGAGAAUGAUGUGAUUGACAUGACCCAUUCCGUUAGCCUAGCACUUGAUCGUUUAGUAUGUUGCUAUUGCUUUCUUCAUGACUUAUACAUGUUCCUGUAACUAUGAGAUUAUGCAACUCCCGUUUACCAGAGGAACACUUUGGGUGCUACCAAACGUCACAACGUAACUGGGUGAUUAUAAAGGAGUACUACAGGUGUCUCCGAAGGUACAUGUUGAGUUGGCAUAUUUCGAGAUUAGGUUUUGUCACUCCGAUUGUCGGAGAGGUAUCUCUGGGCCCUCUCGGUAAUGCACAUCACUACAAGCCUUGCAAGCAAUGUGACCAAUGAGUUGGUUACGGGAUGAUGCAUUACGUAACGAGUAAAGCGACUUGCCGGUAACGAGAUUGAACUAGGUAUUGGAUACCGACGAUCAAAUCUCGGGCAAGUAACAUACCGAUGACAAAGGGAACAACGUAUGUUGUUAUGCGGUUUGACCGAUAAAGAUCUUCGUAGAAUAUGUAGGAACCAAUAUGGGCAUCCAGGUUCCGCUAUUGGUUAUUGACCGAGAAUAGUUCUAGGUCAUGUCUACAUUGUUCUCGAACCCGUAGGGUCCGCACGCUUAAGGUUUUGAUGACAGUUAUAUUAUGAGUUUAUGAGUUUUGAUGUACUGAAGGAGUUCGGAGUCUUGGAUGAGAUCGGGGACAUGACGAGGAGUCUCAAAAUGGUCGAGACGUAAAGAUCGAUAUAUUGGACGACUAUAUUCGGAGUUCGGAAAGGUUCCGAGUGAUUCGGGUAUUUUUCAGAGUACCGGAGAGUUACGGGAAUUCACCGGAGAGUAUAUGGGCCUUAUUGGGCCAUACGGGAAUAGAGGAAAGAGGCCGAAAGGAAGGAGGCGCGCAGCCCCCCUCUGGUCCGAAUUGGACAAGGGGUGCGGCCCCCUUUUCCUUCCUCCUCUCCCCCUCUUUCCCCCUUCUCCUACUCCAACAAGGAAGGAGGGAGUCCUACUCCCGGUGGGAGUAGGACUCCCCUUGGCGCGCCCCUCCUAGGCCGGCCGCCCCCUCCUCCCUUGCUCCUUUAUAUACGGGGGCAGGGGGGCACCCCAAGAGACACAAGUUGAUCUACGGAUCGUUCCUUAGACGUGUGCGGUGCCCCCCUCCACCAUAUUCCACCUCGGUCAUAUCGUUGCGGAGUUUAGGCGAAGCCCUGCGCCGGUAGAGCAUCAUCAUCGUCACUACGCCGUCGUGCUGACGGAACUCAUCCCCGAAGCUUUGCUGGAUCGGAGCCCGGGGAUCGUCAUCGAGCUGAACGUGUGCUGAACUCGGAGGUGCCGUACGUUCGGUACUUGGAUCGGUCGGAUCGUGAAGACGUAUGACUACAUCAACCGCGUUGUCAUAACGCUUCCGCUUACGGUCUAUGAGGGUACGUGGACAACACUCUCCCCUCUUGUUGUUAUGCCAUCACCAUGAUCUUGCGUGUGCGUAGGAAUUUUUUUUGAAAUUACUACGUUCCCCAACACCUACAUAUCGUAAAACUUCCAGAACAGAACUUAGAUCGGGAGUUCCGCCGCCGCAAGCCUCUGUAGCCACCAAAAAACCAAUCGGGACCCUGUUCUGGCUCCCUGCCGGAGGGGGAUCCCAUCACCGGAGGCCAUUUUCAUCAUCCCGGUGCUAUCCAUGACGAGGAGGGAGUAGUUCACCCUCGAGGCUGAGGGUAUGUACCAGUAGCUAUGUGUUUGAUCUCUCUCUCUCUCUCUCGUGUUCUCUCUCGUGUUCCCUCUAUGGCACGAUCUUGAUGUAUCCCGAGCUUUGCUAUUGUAGUUGGAUCUUAUGAUGUUUCUCCCCCUCUACUCUCUUGUGAUGAAUUGAGUUUCCCCUUUGAAGUUAUCUUAUCGGAUUGAGUCUUUUAUGAACACUUGAUGUAUGUCUUGCGUGGGAUAACCGUGGUGACAAUGGGUUAUUCUAUUGAUCCACUUGAUGUAUGUUUUGGUGACCAACUUGCGGGUUCCACCCAUGAACCUAUGCAUAGGGGUUGUCACACGUUCUUGACUCUCCGGUAGUAGCUUUGGGGCACUCUUUGAAGUACUUUUAUGUUGGUUGGAUGAAUCUGAGAUUGUGUGAUGCAUAUCGUAUAAUCAUGCCCACAGAUACUUGAGGUGACAAUGGAGUAUCUAGGUGACAUUAGGGUUUUGGUUGAUUUGUGUCUUAAGGUGUUAUUCUAGUAUGAACUCUAUGAUGGAUUGAGCGAAAAGAAUAGCUUUAUGUUAUUUUACUACGAACUCUUGAAUAGAUAGAACAGAAAGGAUAACUUUGAGGUGGUUUCGUACCCUACCAUAAUCUCUAUGUUUGUUCUCCGCUAUUAGCGGCUUUGGAGUGACUCUUUGUUGCAUGUUGAGGGCUUGUUAUAUGAUCUAUCUAUGUUAUUAUUGUUGAGAGAACUUGCACUAGUGAAAGUAUGAACCCUAGGCCUUGUUUCCUAUCAUUGCAAUACCAUUUACGCUCACUUUUAUCAUUAGUUACCUUGCUGUUUUCAUUAUUUCAGAUUACAAAAACCUAUAUCUACUAUCUAUUUUGCACUUGUAUCUUCAUCUCUUCGCCGAACUAGUGCACCUAUACAAUUUACCAUUGUAUUGGGUGUGUUGGGGACACAAGAGACUCUUUGUUAUUUGGUUGCAGGGUUGUUUGAGAGAGACCAUCUUCACCUUACGCCUCCUACGGAUUGAUAAACCUUAGGUCAUCCACUUGAGGGAAAUUUGCUACUGUCCUACAAACAUGUGCACUUGCAGGCCCAACAACGUCUACAAGAAGAAGGUUGUGUAGUAGACAUCAGAACCCAAAUCGGAAAAUGUGUCUUCAUAGGAUACCCAAAAGAAACUAUUGGAUACACCUUCUAUGACAAAUCUGAAGGCAAGACUUUUGUUGCAAAGUUCGGAAACUUUCUAGAGAAGGAGUUUCUCUCGAAAGAAGUGAGUGGGAGGAAAGUAGAACUUGAUGAGGUAACUGUACCUGCUCCCUAAUUGGAAAGUAGCUCUUCACAGAAAUCUGUUCCUGUGACACCUACACCAAUUAGUGAGGAAGUUAAUGAUGAUGAUCAUGAAACUUCAGAUCAAGUUGUUACUGAACCUCGUAGAUCAACCAGGGUAAGAUCCGCACUAGAGUGGUACGGUAAUCCUGUUCUGGAAGUCAUGUUACUAGACCAUGAUGAACCUACGAACUAUGAAGAAGCGAUGGUGAGCCCAGAUUUCGCAAAAUGGCUUGAGGCCAUGAAAUCUGAGAUGGGAUCCAUGUAUCAGAACAAAGUGUGGACUUUGGUUGACUUGCCCGAUGAUCGGCAAGCAAUUGAGAAUAAAUGGAUCUUCAAGAAGAAGACUGAGGCUGACGGUAAUGUUACUGUCUAUAAAGCUCGACUUGUUGCAAAAGGUUUUCGACAAGUUCAAGGGAUUGACUACGAUGAGACUUUCUCACCCGUAGCGAUGCUUAAGUCUAUCCGAAUCAUGUUAGCAAUUGCCGCAUUUUAUGAUUAUGAAAUAUGGUAGAUGGAUGUCAAAACUGCAUGCCUGAAUGGAUUUCUGGAAGAAGAGUUGUAUAUGAUGCAACCAGAAAGUUUUGUCGAUCCAAAGGGAGCUAACAAAGUGUGCAAGCUCCAGCGAUCCAUUUAUGGACCGGUGCAAGCCUCUCAGAGUUGGAAUAAACGCUUUGAUAGUGUGAUCAAAGCAUUUGGUUUUAUACAGACUUUUGGAGAAGUCUGUAUUUACAAGAAAUGGAAAACAUAAAGGGAUACUUGAAUAAGAGUUUUUCAAUGAAAGACCUCGGUGAAGCUGCUUACAUAUUGGGCAUUAAGAUCUAUAGAGAUAGAUCAAGACGCUUAAUUGGACUUUCACAAAGCACAUACCUUGACAAAGUUUUAAAGAAGUUCAAAAUGGAUCAAGCAAAGAAAGGGUUCUUGCCUGUGUUGCAAGGUGUGAAAUUGAGUAAGACUCAAUGCCCGACCACUGCAGAAGAUAGAGAGAAGAUGAAAGAUGUUCCCUAUGCUUCAUCCAUAGGCUCUAUCAUGUAUGCAAUGCUGUGUACCAAACCUGAUGUGUGCCUUGCUAUAAGUCUAGCAGGGAGGUACCAAAGUAAUCCAGGAGUGGAUCACUGGACAACGGUCAAGAACAUCCUGAAAUACCUGAAAAGGACUAAGGAUAUGUUUCUCGUUUAUGGAGGUGACAAAGAGCUCACCGUAAAUGGUUACGUUGAUGCAAGCUUUGACACUGAUCCAGACGAUUCUAAAUCGCAAACCGGAUACGUGUUUACAUUGAACGGUGGAGCUGUUAGUUGGUGCAGUUCUAAACAAAGUGUUGUGGCAGGAUCUACAUGUGAAGCGGAGUACAUAGCUGCUUCAGAAGCAUCAAACGAAGGAGUCUGGAUGAAGGAGUUCAUAUCCGAUCUAGGUGUCAUACCUAGUGCAUCGGAUCCAAUGCAAAUCUUUUGUGAUAAUAUUAGUGCAAUUGCCUUGGCAAAGGAAUCCAGAUUUCACAAGAGAACCAAGCACAUCAAGAGACGCUUCAAUUCCAUCCGGGAUCUAGUCCAGGUGGGAGACAUAGAAAUUUGCAAGAUACAUACGGAUCUGAAUGUUGUAGACCCGUUGACUAAGCCUCUUCCACGAGCAAAACAUGAUCAGCACCAAGGCUCCAUGGGUGUUAGAAUCAUUACUGUGUAAUCUAGAUUAUUGACUCUAGUGCAAGUGGGAGACUGAAGGAAAUAUGCCCUAGAGGCAAUAAUAAAGUUAUUAUUUAUUUCCUUAUAUCAUGAUAAAUGUUUAUUAUUCAUGCUAGAAUUGUAUUAACCGGAAACAUAAUACAUGUGUGAAUACAUAGACAAACAGAGUGUCACUAGUAUGCCUCUACUUGACUAGCUCAUUGAUCAAAGAUGGUUAUGUUUCCUAGCCAUAGACAUGAGUUGUCAUUUGAUUAAUGGGAUCACAUCAUUAGGAGAAUAAUGUGAUUGACAUGACCCAUUCCGUUAGCUUAGCACACGAUCGUUUAGUAUGUUGCUAUUGCUUUCUUCAUGACUUAUACAUGUUCCUAUGACUAUGAGAUUAUGCAACUCCCGUUUACCGGAGGAACACUUUGUGUGCAACCAAACGUCACAACGUAACUAGGUGAUUAUAAAGGUGCUCUACAGGUGUCUCCGAAGGUACAUGUUGGGUUGGCGUAUUUCGAGAUUAGGAUUUGUCACUCCGAUUGUCGGACAGGUAUCUCUGGGCCCUCUCGGUAAUGCACAUCACUUAAGCCUUGCAAGCAUUUCAACUAAUGAGUUAGUUGUGGGAUGAUGUAUUACGGAACGAGUAAAGAGACUUGCCGGUAACAAGAUUGAACUAGGUAUUGAGAUACCGACGAUCGAAUCUCGGUCAAGUAACAUACCGAUGACAAAGGGAACAAAUGUAUGUUGUUAUGCGGUCUGACCAAUAAAGAUCUUCGUAGAAUAUGUGGGAGCCAAUAUGAGCAUCCAGGUUCCGCUAUUGGUUAUUGACCGGAGACAUGUCUCGGUCAUGUCUACAUAAUUCUCGAACCCGUAGGGUCCGCACGCUUAACGUUACGAUGACAUUUUUAUUAUGAGUUUAUAUGUUAUGAUGUACCAAAGGUUGUUCGGAGUCACGGAUGUGAUCACGGACAUGACGAGGAGUCUCGAAAUGGUCGAUACAUGAAGAUUGAUAUAUCGGAAGCCUAUGUUUGGACAUGGGAAGUGUUCCGGAUGAAAUCGGGAUUUUACCGAAGUACCGGGAGGUUACCGGAACCCCCCGGGAGGUAAGUGGGCCUUAGUGGAAGAGAGGAGAGGAGGCCAGGGCUGGGCCGCGCGCCCCUCCCCCUAGUCCAAAUAGGACAAGGAGAGGGGGACGGCACCCCCCCCUUCCUUCUCUCUCUCCUCUUUCCCCCUCCCGAAUCCUAUUCCAACUAGGAAAAGGGGGGGGGGGAAUCCUACUCCCGGUGGGAGUAGGGGACUCCUCCGGCGCGCCUCUCCCUUUGGACGGCCGCACCCCCCUUGCUCCUUUAUAUACGGGGGCAGGGGGCAGCCCAUAGAGACAACAAUUGAUCUGUUUGAUCUCUUAGCCGUGUGCGGUGCCCCCCUCCACCAUAGUCCACCUCGAUAAUACUGUAGCAGUGCUAAGGCGAAACCCUGCGUCGAUAGAACAUCAACAUCGUCACCACGCCGUCGUGCUGACGAAACUCUCCCUCAACACUCGGCUGGAUCGGAGUUCGAGGGACGUCAUCGGGCUGAACGUGUGCUGAACUCGGAGGUUGCGUGCGUUCGGUACUUGAUCGGUCGGGUUGUGAAGACGUACGACUACAUCAACCGCGUUGUGCUAACGCUUCCGCUUUCAGUCUACGAGGGUAUGUAGACAACACUCUCCCCUCUAGUUGUUAUGCAUCACCAUGAUCUUGCGUGUGCGUAGGAAUUUUUUUGAAAUUACUACGUUCCCCAACACUCCAUUCAUUGCUUGUGGGAUGGAGAUUCCCAACUUGUCCGCCCCUCGGAUAUUCGUGUCCAUGUAGACAGCUUUUAUAAAGCCCUAUUUUCCCCCACCCCUUGGGGUGGGGUUGCACUGGCCCUCGACACUUGGUCGGGUCGCCAGCUAGUGACGGCCGAGGCUAAUGCUGCUUUGGUGGCGCCGUUCUCGGAGGACGAGGUCCUCGCGGCCAUAAAGGGUAUGAACCCCUCCUCGGCUCCAGGGACGGAUGGACUGCCAGUGAUGUUUUUCAAAACAUUCUGGCAAACCAUCAAGCCGGAGGUCAUGGCCCUCUUCGACGAAUUCUUCUUGGGGACCAUGGACCUUGGGCGCCUGAACUAUCGGGUCAUCACCCUCAUCCCCAAAGUUUCGGAUGCUUCGGAUAUUUGCCAAUUCCGGCCUAUCACUAUGAUCAAUGUGAUAUUCCAGAUCCUGGCCAAAGGGUGCGCCAUUAGGGUGACCCUUUUGGCUGAUGAUGUUACUCACCCCAACCAAUCCACCUUCAUUCAAGGGCGGUUUAUUUUCGAUGGGGUCUUAGUCUUCCACGAAGUCCUUCACGAAUUCCGAGCCAAACACCAUCGGGCGGUCGUCUUGAAGCUUGACUUCCACAAGGCAUAUGAUACGGUCCACUCGCCCUUCCUUCGGGAAGUCCUGCUCCGCAAGGGUUUCGAUGAUCGGUCGGUGACCAGAGUGAUCCAACUCGUUUGCUGCGGUCGGUGAAGGAAAUAUGCCCUAGAGGCAAUAAUAAAGUUAUUAUUUAUUUCCUCAUAUCAUGAUAAGUGUUUAUUAUUCAUGCUAGAAUUGUAUUAACCGGAAACAUGAUACAUGUGUGAAUACAUAGACAAACAUAUAGUCACUAGUAUGCCUCUACUUGACUAGCUCAUUAAUCAAAGAUGGUUAUGUUUCCUAACCAUAGACAUGUGUUGUCAUUUGAUUAAUGGGAUCACAUCAUUAGGAGAAUGAUGUGAUUGACAUGACCCAUCCCGUUAGCUUAGCACUUGAUCGUUUAGUAUUCUGCUAUUGCUUUCUUCAUGACUUAUACAUGUUCCUGCAACUAUGAGAAAUAUGCAACUCCCGUUUACCGGAAGAACACUUUGGGUACUACCAAACGUCACAACGUAACUGGGUGAUUAUAAAGGAGUACUACAGGUGUCUUCGAAGGUACAUGUUGAUUUGGCGUAUUUCGAGAUUAGGUUUUGUCACUCUGAUUGCCGGAGAGGUAUCUCUGGGCCCUCUCGGUAAUACUCAUCACUUAAGCCUUGCAAGCAUUAUAACUAAUAAGUUAGUUAUGAGAUGGCGUAUUACAGAACGAGUAAAGAGACUUGCCGGUAACGAGAUUGAACUAGGUAUUGGAUACCGACGAUCAAAUCUCGGGCAAGUAACAUACCGAUGACAAAGGGAACAACAUAUGUUGUUAUGCGGUUUGACCGAUAAAGAUAUUUGUAGAAUAUGUAGGAACCAAUAUGGGCAUCCAGGUCCCGCUAUUGGUUAUUGACCGAGAAUGGUUUUAGGUCAUGUCUACAUAGUUCUCGAACCCGUAGGGUCCGCACGUUUAACGUUUCGAUGACAGUUUUAUUAUGAGUUUACAAGUUUUGAUGUACCGAAGUUUGUUCGUAGUCCCGGAUGUGAUCACGGACAUGACAAGGAGUCUCGGAAUGGUCGAGACAUAAAGAUUGAUAUAUUGGGAGCCUAUGUUUGGACAUCGGAAUGGUUCCGGGUGAAAUCGGCAUUUUACCGGAGUACCGGGAGGUUACCGGAACCCCCCGGGGGGUUAAUGGGCCUACAUGGGCCACGAGGGAGAAGAGAGAAGGAGCCAGGAGGGGGCCACGCGCCCCUCCCCCUCCUAGUCCGAAUAGGACAAGGGAAGGGGGGCGGCGCCCCCCCUUUUCCUUCCCCUCUUCCUCCUCUUCCCCCCUUCUCCUAUUCCAACUAGGAAAGAAGGGAGUCCUACUCCCGAUGGGAGUAGGACUCCCCCCUUGGCGCGCCCUCCUUGGCCGGCCGCCUCCUCCCCCUUGGCUCCUUUAUAUACGGGGGCGGGGGGGCACCCUAGACACACAAGUUGAUCUACGGAUCGUUCCUUAGCCGUGUGCGGUGCCCCUCUCCACCAUAUUCCACCUCGGUCAUAUCGUCGCGGAGUUUAGGCGAAGACCUGCGCCGGUAGAGCAUCAUCAUCGUCACCACGCCGUCGUCGUGCUGACGGAACUCAUCCCCGAAGCUUUGCUGGAUCGGAGCCCGGGGAUCGUCAUCGAGCUGAACGUGUGCUGAACUCGGAGGUGUCGUACGUUCGGUGCUUGGAUCGGUCGGAUCGUGAAGACGUACGACUACAUCAACCGCGUUGUCAUAACGCUUCCGCUUACGGUCUACGAGGGUACAUGGACGAACACUCUCCCCUCUCGUUGCUAUAUCAUCACCAUGAUCUUGCGUGUGUGUAGGAAUUUUUUUGAAAUUACUGCGUUCCCCAAUAGUGGUAUCAGAGCCUGGUUUUAUACGUUGAUGUUAUAUGCACGAGUAGAACACAAGUGAGUUGUGGGCGAUAUAAGUCAUACUGCUUACCAGCAUGUCAUACUUUGGUUCAGCGGCAUUGUGAGAUGAAGCGGCCCGGACCGACAUUACGCGUACGCUUACGCGAGACUGGUUUCACCGCUACGAGCACUCGUUGCUUAAAGGUGACCGACGGGUGUCUGUCUCUCUCACUUUAGUUGAACCGAGUGUGGCUACGCCCGGUCCUUGCGAAGGUUAAAACAGCACCAACUUGACAAACUAUCGUUGUGGUUUUGAUGCGUAGGUAAGAACGAUUCUUGCUAAGCCCGUAGCAGCCACGUAAAAUUUGCAACAACAAAGUAGAGGACGUCUAACUUGUUUUUGCAGGGCAUGUUGUGAUGUGAUAUGGUCAAGACGUGAUGCUAUAUUUUAUUGUAUGAGAUGAUCAUGUUUUGUAACCGAAGUUAUCGGCAACUGACAGGAGCCAUAUGGUUGUCGCUUUAUUGUAUGAAAUGCAAACGCCCUGUAAUUGCUUUACUUUAUCACUAAGCGGUACGAUAGUCGUAGAAGCAAUAGAUGGCAUAACGACAACGAUGCUAUGAUGGAGAUCAAGGUGUCGCGCCGGUGACGAUGGUGAUCAUGACGGUGCUUCGAAGAUGGAGAUCACAAGCACAAGAUGAUGAUGGCCAUAUCAUAUCACUUAUAUUGAUUGCAUGUGAUGUUUAUCCUUUAUGCAUCUUAUCUUGCUUUGAUUGACGGUAGCAUUUUAAGAUGAUCUCUCACUUAAUAAUCAAGAAGUGUUCUCCCUGAGUAUGCACCAUUGCGAAAGUUCUUCGUGCUGAGACACCACGUGAUGAUCGGGUGUGAUAGGCUCUACGUUCAAAUACAACGGGUGCAAAACAGUUGCACACGCAGAAUACUCAGGUCAUACUUGACGAGCCUAGCAUAUACAGAUAUGGCCUCGAAACACGGAGACCAAACGGUCGAACGUGAAUCAUAUAGUAGAUAUGAUCAACAUAGUGAUGUUCACCAUUGAAACUACUCCAUCUCACGUGAUGAUUGGACAUGGUUUAGUUGAUUUGGAUCACGUGAUCACUUAGAUGACUAGAGAGAUGUCUGUCUAAGUGGGAGUUCUUAAGUAAAUAUGAUUAAUUGAACUUAAAUUUAUCAUGAACUUAGUACCUGAUAGUAUUUUGCUUGUCUAUGUUUGUUUGUAGAUAGAUGGCUCGUGCUGUUGUUCCGUUGAAUUUUAAUGCGUUCCUUGAGAAAGCAAAGUUGAAAGAUGAUGGUAGCAAUUACACGGACUGGGUCCGUAACCUGAGGAUUAUCCUCAUUGCUGCACAGAAAAGUUACGUCCUGGAAGCACCACUGGGUGCCAGGCCUGCUGCUGAUGCAACUGACGACGUUAAGAACGUUUGGCAGAGCAAAGCUGAUGACUACUCUAUAGUUUAGUGUGCCAUGCUUUACGGCUUAGAACCGGGUCUUCAACGACGUUUUGAACGUCAUGGAGCAUAUGAGAUGUUCCAGGAGUUGAAGUUAAUAUUUCAAGCAAAUGCCCGGAUUGAGAGAUAUGAAGUCUCCAAUAAGUUCUACAGCUGCAAGAUGGAGGAGAAUAGUUCUGUCAGUGAACACAUACUCAAAAUGUCUGGGUAUAAUAAUCACUUGAUUCAACUGGGAGUUAAUCUUCCUGAUGAUAGUGUCAUUGACAGAAUUCUCCAAUCACUACCACCAAGCUACAAGAGCUUCGUGAUGAACUAUAAUAUGCAAGGGAUGAACAAAACUAUUCCGGAGCUCUCCGCAAUGCUAAAAGCUGCGGAGGUAGAAAUCAAAAAGGAGCAUCAAGUGUUGAUGGUUAACAAGACCACCAGUUUCAAGAAAAAGGGCAAAGGGAAGAAGAAGGGGAACUUCAAAAAGAACGGCAAGCAAGUUGCUGCUCAAGAGAAGAAACCCAAGUCUGGACCUAAGCCUGAAACUGAGUGCUUCUACUGCAAGCAGACUGGACACUAGAAGCGGAAUUGCCCCAAGUAUUUGGCGGAUAAGAAGGAUGGAAAAGUGAACAAAGGUAUAUGUGAUAUACAUGUUAUUGAUGUGUACCUUACUAAUGCUCGCAGUAGCACCUGGGUAUUUGAUACUGGUUCUGUUGCUAAUAUUUGCAACUCGAAACAGGGACUACGAAUUAAGCGAAGAUUAGCUAAGGACGAGGUGACGAUGCGCGUGGGAAAUGGUUCCAAAGUCGAUGUGAUCGCGGUCGGCACGCUACCUCUACAUCUACCAUCGGGAUUAGUUUUAGACCUAAAUAAUUGUUAUUUGGUGCCAGCGUUGAGCAUGAACAUUAUAUCUGGAUCUUGUUUGAUGCGAGACGGUUAUUCAUUUAAAUCAGAGAAUAAUGGUUGUUCUAUUUAUAUGAGUAAUAUCUUUUAUGGUCAUGCACCCUUGAAGAGUGGUCUAUUUUUAUUAAAUCUCGAUAGUAGUGAUACACAUAUUCAUAGUGUUGAAACCAAAAGAUGCAGAGUUGAUAACGAUAGUGCAACUUAUUUGUGGCACUGCCGUUUAGGUCAUAUCGGUGUAAAGCGCAUGAAGAAACUCCAUACUGAUGGGCUUUUGGAAUCACUUGAUUAUGAAUCACUUGGUACUUGCGAACCGUGCCUCAUGGGCAAGAUGACUAAAACGCCAUUCUUCGGAACUAUGGAGCGAGCAAUUGAUUUGUUGGAGAUCAUACAUACUGAUGUUUGUGGUCCAAUGAAUGUUGAGGCUCGCGGCGGGUAUCGUUAUUUUCUCACCUUCACGGAUGAUUUGAGCAGAUAUGGGUAUAUCUACUUAAUGAAACACAAGUCUGAAACAUUUGAAAAGUUCAAAGAAUUUCAGAGUGAAGUGGAAAAUCAUCGUAACAAGAAAAUAAAGUUUCUACGAUCUGAUCGUGGAGGAGAAUAUUUGAGUUACGAGUUUGGUCUACACUUUAAGCAAUACGGAAUAGUUUCGCAACUCACGCCACCCGGAACACCACAAUGAAAUGGUGUGUCUAAACGUCGUAAUCGUACUUUACUAGAUAUGGUGCAAUCUAUGAUGUCUCUUACAGAUUUACCGCUAUCGUUUUGGGGUUAUGCUUUAGAGACGGCCGCAUUCACGUUAAAUAGGGCACCAUCAAAAUCCGUUGAGACAACACCUUAUGAACUGUGGUUUGGCAAGAAACCAAAGUUGUCGUUUCUUAAAGUUUGGGGCUGCGAUGCUUAUGUAAAGAAACUUCAACCAGAUAAGCUCGAACCCAAAUCGGAGAAAUGUGUCUUCAUAGGAUACCCAAAGGAGACUAUUGGGUACACCUUCUAUCACAGAUCUGAGGGCAAGAUUUUCGUUGCUAAAUUCGGAUCCUUUCUAGAGAAGGAGUUUCUCUCGAAAGAAGUGAGUGGGAGGAAAGUAAAACUUGAUGAGAUAACUGUAUCUACUCCCUUGUUGGAAAGUAGUUCGUCACAAGAACCAGUUCCUGUGACAACUACACCAACUAGUGAGGAAGCUAAUGAUAUUGAUCAUGAAACUUCAGAUCAAGUUUCUACUGAACCUCGCAGGUCUACCAGAAUAAGAUCCACACCAGAGUGGUACGGUAAUCCUAUUCUGGAAGUCAUGUUACUUGACCAUGAUGAACCUACGAACUAUGAGGAAGCGAUGAUGAGCCCAGAUUCCGCAAAAUGGCUAGAGGCCAUGAAAUCUGAGAUGGGAUCCAUGUACGAAAACAAAGUAUGGACUUUGGUUGACUUGCCCGAUGAUCGGCAAGCCAUUGAGAAUAAAUGGAUUUUUAAGAAGAAGACUGACGCUGAUGGUAAUAUAACUGUCUAUAAAGCUCGACUUGUUGCGAAAGGUUUUCGACAAGUUCAAGGGGUUGACUACGAUGAGACUUUCUCACCCGUAGCGAUGCUUAAGUCUGUCCGAAUCAUGUUAGCUAUUGCUGCAUUUCACGAUUAUGAAAUUUGGCAAAUGGAUGUCAAAACUGCAUUCUUGAAUGGAUUUCUGGAAGAAGAGUUGUAUAUGAUGCAACCAGAAGGUUUUGUUGAUCCAAAAGGCGCUAACAAAGUGUGCAAACUCCAGCGAUCUAUUUAUGGGCUGGUGCAAGCAUCUCGGAGUUGGAAUAAACGUUUUGAUAGUGUGAUCAAAGCAUAUGGUUUUAUACAGACUUUUGGAGAAGCCUGUAUUUACAAGAAAGUGAGUGGGAGCUCUGUAGCAUUUCUGAUUUUAUAUGUAGAUCACAUAUUAUUAAUUGGAAAUGAUAUAGAGUUUCUGGAUAGCAUAAAGGGAUACUUGAAUAAAAGUUUUUCAAUGAAAGACCUCGGUGAAGCUGCUUACAUAUUAGGCAUCAAGAUCUAUAGAGAUAGAUCAAGAUGCUUAAUAGGACUUUCACAAAGCACAUACCUUGACAAAAUUUUGAAAAGGUUCAAAAUGGAUCAGGCAAAGAAAGGUUUCUUGCCUGUGCUACAAGGUGUGAAGUUGAGUCAAACUCAAUGCCCGACCACAGCAGAAGAUAGAGAGAAAAUGAAAGAUGUUCCUUAUGCUUCAGCCAUAGGCUAUAUCAUGUAUGCAAUGCUGUGUACCAGACCUGACGUAUGCUUAGCAAUAAGCUUGGCAGGAAGGUACCAAAGUAAUCCAGGAGUGGAUCACUGGACAGCGGUCAAGAACAUUCUGAAAUACCUGAAAAGGACUAAGGAUAUGUUUCUCGUAUAUGGAGGUGACAAAGAGCUAGUCGUAAAAGGUUACGUCGAUGCAAGCUUUGACACUGAUCCGGACGAUUCUAAAUCGCAAACCGGAUACGUGUUUAUAUUAAACGGUGGAGCUGUAAGUUGGUGCAGUUCUAAACAAAGCGUCGUGACUGGAUCUACAUGUGAAGCGGAGUACAUAGCUGCUUCUGAAGCAGCAAAUGAAGGAGUCUGGAUGAAGGAGUUCAUUACCGAUCUAGGUGUCAUACCUAGUGCAUCGGGACCAAUGAAGAUCUUUUGUGACAAUACUGGUGCAAUUGCUUUGGCAAAGGAAUCCAGAUUUCACAAGAGGACCAAGCACAUCAAGAGACGCUUCAAUUCCAUUCGGGACCAAGCCCAAGUGAGAGACAUAGAGAUUUGCAAAAUACAUACGGAUCUGAAUGUUGCAGACCCGUUGACUAAGCCUCUCUCACGAGCAAAACAUGAUCAACACCAAAACUCCAUGGGUGUUAGAAUCAUUACUGUGUAAUCUAGAUUAUUGACUCUAGUGCAAGUGGGAGACUGAAGGAAAUAUGCCCUAGAGGCAAUAAUAAAGUUAUUAUUUAUUUCCUCAUAUCAUGAUAAAUGUUUAUUAUUCAUGCUAGAAUUGUAUUAACCGGAAACAUGAUACAUGUGUGAAUACAUAGACAAACAUAUAGUCACUAGUAUGCCUCUACUUGACUAGCUCAUUAAUCAAAGAUGGUUAUGUUUCCUAACCAUAGACAUGUGUUGUCAUUUGAUUAAUGGGAUCACAUCAUUAGGAGAAUGAUGUGAUUGACAUGACCCAUCCCGUUAGCUUAGCACUUGAUCGUUUAGUAUUCUGCUAUUGCUUUCUUCAUGACUUAUACAUGUUCCUGCAACUAUGAGAAAUAUGCAACUCCCGUUUACCGGAAGAACACUUUGGGUACUACCAAACGUCACAACGUAACUGGGUGAUUAUAAAGGAGUACUACAGGUGUCUCCGAAGGUACAUGUUGAGUUGGCGUAUUUCGAGAUUAGGUUUUGUCACUCCGAUUGUCGGAGAGGUAUCUCUGGGCUCUCUCGGUAAUACUCAUCACUUAAGCCUUGCAAGAAUUAUAACUAAUAAGUUAGUUAUGAGAUGACGUAUUACAGAACGAGUAAAGAGACUUGCCGGUAACGAGAUUGAACUAGGUAUUGGAUACCGAUGAUCAAAUCUCGGGCAAGUAACAUACCGAUGACAAAGGGAACAACGUAUGUUGUUAUGCGGUUUGACCGAUAAAGAUCUUCGUAGAAUAUGUAGGAACCAAUAUGGGCAUCCAGGUCCCGCUAUUGGUUAUUGACCGAGAAUGGUUUUAGGUCAUGUCUACAUAGUUCUCGAACCCGUAGGGUCCGCACGCUUAACAUUUCGAUGACAGUUAUAUUAUGAGUUUACAAGUUUUGAUGUACAGAAGUUUGUUCGGAGUCCCGGAUGUGAUCAUGGAAAUGACGAGGAGUCUCAGAAUGGUCGAGACAUAAAUAUUGAUAUAUUGGAAGCCUAUGUUUGGACAUCGGAAUGGUUCCGGGUGAAAUCAACAUUUUACCGGAGUACCGGGAGGUUACCGGAACCCCCGGGGGGUUAAUGGGCCUACAUGGGCCACGAGGGAGAAGAGAGAAGGAGCCAGGAGGGGGCCGCGCGCCCCUCCCCCUCCUAGUCCGAAUAGGACAAGGGAAGGGGGGCGGCGCCCCCCCUUUUCCUUCCCCUCUUCCUCCUCUUCCCCCCUUCUCCUAUUCCAACUAGGAAAGAAGGGAGUCCUACUCCCGGUGGGAGUAGGACUCCCCCCUUGGCGCGCCCUCCUUGGCCGGCCGCCUCCUCCCCCUUGGCUCCUUUAUAUACGGGGGCGGGGGGGCACCCUAGACACACAAGUUGAUCUACGGAUCGUUCCUUAGCCGUGUGCGGUGCCCCUCUCCACCAUAUUCCACCUCGGUCAUAUCGUCGCGGAGUUUAGGCGAAGCCCUGCGCCGGUAGAGCAUCAUCAUCGUCACCACACCGUCGUGCUGAUGGAACUCAUCCCCGAAGCUUUGCUGGAUCGGAGCCCGGGGAUCGUCAUCGAGCUGAACGUGUGCUGAACUCGGAGGUGCCGUACGUCCGGUGCUUGGAUCGGUCGGAUCGUGAAGACGUACGACUACAUCAACCGCGUUGUCAUAACGCUUCCGCUUACGGUCUACGAGGGUACGUGGACGAACACUCUCCCCUCUCGUUGCUAUAUCAUCACCAUGAUCUUGCGUGUGGGUAGGAAUUUUUUUGAAAUUACUGCGUUCCCCAACAGUCGGACCAUGGUUAACAUUAACGACGAGAUCGGGUCCUACUUCCCCACGCUUUGUGGGGUUUGCCAGGGCGACCUGUUCUCCCCGUUUCUGUUUAACAUGGUGGUCGAUGCCCUUGCUGUUAUCCUGGAUAAGGACAAAUCUGCUGGCCAUAUCCACGACUUAGUCCCCCACCUGGUAGGAGGGGGAGGGGUCUCUCUCCUACAAUAUGCUGACGACACCAUAAUAAUGGUGGAGGGCUCCGCCUCCGACAUUGCCAACCUGAAGUUCCUCCUACUAUGCUUCCAGCAGAUGUCUGGACUCACAAUCAACUUCGAUAAGAGCGAAGUGAUGGUUCUUGGCUACCCUCCUGAGGAGGCCCAGGCCAUUGCCGAUCGGCUAAACUAUCGCUGGGUACUUUCCCCAUGACCUAUUUGGGGAUCCCCAUUAGUGACUCGCGACUCAUCGUGGCUGACCUACACCCGACUGUGACCAGGAUGCAGCGCCGGGUGGAGCCAUGGAAGGGGCGGUGGCUUUCGAAGGCCGCCAGGGUGAUCCUCAUCAACUCCUCGCUUGCCAGUCUCCUAUGGUUUCUCGUGAGCUUCUACAGCCUCCAUGAGACGCUCCAUCAGGAGAUCGCCAAGUACCAGUACAGGUUUUUUUGGGCAGGCGAGGGAGACAAGCAGAAGUACCAUAUGGUGAGCUGGCCCGACAUUUGCAAACCCAAGGACCAGGGGGGUCUGGGGAUCUUGUCCUCUCGGUGCAUGAACAUUGCUCUCCUAACCCGAUGGCUCUGGCGUAUCGCCAAUGGGGAAGGAGGCCUCUGGCUCACCAUCAUCAGGAAUAAGUACCUCCGGGGCCAACCCCUUGCUUUCUGCUAGCGUUUUGGCGGCUCCCAGUUCUGGCAGGCUGUGAUCCAGCUUCUUCCCGUUCUCCGCAUUGACACAUCCAUCUCGGUUGGCUCCGGGGCGUCGACCCUGUUCUGGUUCGAUCGUUGGCUAGGGGACUCCCCCCUGGCCGCUCGCUUCCCGGAACUAUUCGCCAUAACGGUUGACCCUCGGGUCUCUGUGGAGAUGGCCCUUAUUGACUUAGGGCGUCUCGCCUUUCGGCGAUCCUUCGGUCCCCAAGAGGUGGCCGCCUGGGACUCCCUCCUCCAGGACAUCGCGCUUCUUCCGAUGGACGCCGAGGACGCCCUGGACUCCAUCUCUUGGCGUCUAGAGUCCUCUGGACACUUCUCCACUAAAUCCUUAUACGCGGCCAUCGCUCCCUCGACGGCUCCUGAGCCCUUUAGUCUAAUCUGGGACAUUCGCCUUCCUUUGAAGAUCCGGAUCUUCCUGUGGCAGUGGAUUCGGGGACGCCUUCCCUCUGAGGUCGAGGUCCUCAAAUGUAGUGGACCAGGAGAUGGGAUAUGUCCCAUGUGUGGCACGGUCGAGGAUGCUAAUCACAUCUUCUUCUCUUCCUCCACAACCCAAUUCCUGUGGUCCUGUUUUCGCGAGAUGAUUGGUGGACAGUGGUGUAAUACCAACUUCCCCGACUUACUUGCUGAGAUUCACGCCUCCCACCCUCGCUACCGCCACAUUCGUUGGUUGUUCGUUGGGGUUCUCGCCUGGAUGCUUUGGACCAUCCGCACCAAGCUUGUCAUUCAGAAAGUGCCUCUUCGACGUGCGACUGAUGUUGUCUUCAAAAUGUGUGGUUUCUUGCAGCUCUGGCGGCCGCUUAGCCGCCCCCAGGACCGGGACGUCAUGAACACCCUCCUCGCUGACCUUUGCUCGAUGACAGUCCGCAUGGCGCCCCCGCUGCCGCCCCCUCCUCCGGAGCCCGAUUAGAGUUCGGGCGGCUGGGCGUGAGCGUGUUGUGUUUUCUGUUUCCAGGGCUUGUUGAGUUGUGCCCUCAGCAGUACCCCCUUUGUGUACUUAUGUUUGUCUGAGACUUGUGUGUGUGCGUGUGUGUGUGUGAACCUUGUUGGAUGUUGGCUUGGGCAGUUUGCUUUAUAAUAUAAAGCGGGGCGAAAGCCUUUUUCGGGAUAUUACUAGUCCAACAAAGCUAGUCUGAAUUAUCUCUCUUUCUUUGUCUCAAAAAAGAAAAGAAAACAAGCCUGUAGAAAGAAAGAAGUGAUGGGUAGGGCUGGACACGAGCCGAGCCGAGCCGAGCUUGAUCCGAGCCUGGCUUUGGCUCGCUCUGGAGCGGCUCGACUCGGCUCGGCUCGCUCAGCCAACGAGCCUACUUCAACCGGCUCGGCUCGCUUUGGCUAUGGCUCGGCUCAGACCGAGCCGGCUCGUAAUUCAGUUUCUCCCAGAACCAUUUAAUAGUACAUACCUCUAUAUAUAGUGCAUAUACUUGAUUUUUUGCGGCAAUUAAACCUAUAUUUUGGAAAACAAACAGUUUAUACUACUAAAAAUGAACAAUCCAACAGUCUAUUGUUUUAAGAAAUGGUCAUAGUAAUGAAAAAUAAUGUUCUUAUAUGAAUUCUUCUACAAAAUUGUAACAAUGGAACACAUAUGAGAGAAAGAAUUGGGCAGCAUUUCUAUUGAAUUUUGGACAGCACUUCAAUUGAACUUUACACAGGAAAACAUCAAAUAUUGACAGCCAAACAAGGAAAUUUUGCAUAGCAUAACACUUACCACUUUGACAUAAAACUGAGAAAAUGUUGACAGCCAAACAAUGACUAGUGAAAACCACAUAAUACAAAGUUCAUAGUUCAUCACAAGUUCACAACAACAUUGUUGAAAGUGCAUGGUUCAUCACAACAUCAUUCAAGGUUCAUAGUUCAUCACAACAGCACACAUAAUUCGAAGUUCAUCACAACAAAAGAAAUGGCACGAGAUGAUCACGUUGACCUCAACAAUCCACAUGAGAAGAUCAUGUAGACAUCCAUCUUCAAAAUAGCAAGAGCAACACCCACAUGGCGAAUAUCUACAUGUAACACAGAUUUGUAAACUUGAUAUUCUCAAUAUGUCAAGAUAGGAAAACUGAGACAUGUAAAAACAUUAGUUACCAAUUGUUGUCACCCCCCACAUCAACAAUCUUGGGCAACUUGAUAUUCUCAACAGCGUUCUCCUCAUCUUCAUCCCUCUCCUAAUUAUUUGUAAGUUAGCCAC
rnacentral:lncRNA from 1 species